GUUUAUAUUGUACAGAAUUGGAUUCCUGUGUAUAAAAAAAAUAUAGCGUUCAUAUUCAUGUGUAUUGAAUUAAAUUUAUAGUAUUUUUUUCUGUUUUAUUAUUCAAAGUUAGGAAAAGGAUAGAAAUAUUCCAGAACGAGUUUAUUAAGUUUCCCCAAAAAAAGGAGUAAAAUAUUGUGUAGAAAUUAAAGAUGUUUAAUCAGAGGUAUUAUUUAUAAUUAAACAAUGAAAAAAUAAAUAAAAAUAAUACAGUCUAUUCAAUUUUAAAAUCACCGACUCUCAACUAAAUAACUAAACUUAUUUUAUCUAUUAAAAGGUAUUGUUAUCUCAUAAUUCAAGUGAAACCUUGGUUAAAAUUUGGAAACAUAUUCUAAAAUAUUUCUUAAAAAUAUCUAACUUUUAAAAAAAGUGUCAAGAUUGCAAAUAAUUGGAAGUUGUAAUAAUUAUAUUCCAUUUUUUUUUUUCAUUCCCUAAGGACCGCGCUCGCCGUUGUCUGCGGCAUCGCCUACUGCGACGCCAUCUCUACGGAUCCGGGUCGUGUCCCCGCCACCUAGAAGACGCGGAGAGCCCCAUCGACGAGAUUAAAAGCAAGGGCUGAGAUUCACGAUAUUGCCAAUAGUGUUGUCACUAUAAGCCUCCUCGUGCACAUGUUUGUAAAAUGGGCAAUUGCUUCUUGCACCAUAUCACCACCCAAUUUUAGUGGAAAAGACCCUUCAAUAAAUGGGUACAUAUAAAAAUACAUUCUGAAGCUCCUUUUUCGAAAUAUGUUUUGGAUUUUUUUUCCAUAAUUUUUUGUAUUACGGAUUUUUUUAUCUGAAACGUGAUUUUAAUUUUUGUUUUUAGAUUUUUAUUUUUGAAACAUAAUAAUCUUUUCUAGAUCUAUUUUUUCAGAAUAUAUUAUUUUCAGUUUUGAAAUUUCAUUUUCAGAAUGAAGGGCAUUUUCAAAAAUUUAAAACUGUGUUGGGUGUAGGUUAAAAAAGAUUGGGAGUAGGAAGCAAUUUCCUUGUAAAAGAUGUGUUUUCAUUAUUACUACCACAAGCCUUUGACAAUUGCUUCCGGCACCAUAUCACUGCACCCAAUUAUAUGGGAAAAGCUAAAAAUACUCUUAAAAAAAUGGGGUACAUAUAAAAUUACAUUUUGGAUCCUCUUUUCCGGAACGCAAUAAUCUCUUCCAAAUAAAUUUUUCUGGAAUGUAUUAUUUUUAAUUCUGAAUUUUUUUUAUCCGGAAUGGGAUUUUGUUUUUUUGUUUCCGGAUUUUUAUAUCCGGAACACAAUAAUCUCUUCCAGGUCUACUUUUCUGGAAUGCAUUAUUUUCAAUUCUGGAUUUUCAUUUCCGGAAUAAAGGGUAUUUUCAGAAUUUUAAAAUUGUGUUGAGUGCAAGUUCAAAAGUGUUGGGUGCAGGAAGCAAUUGCCCAAGCCUUUUGUUCUUUUAAAGGAACAAGGCCCAUUCAAUCGGCCUAAGUUUAUACUAGUUGCUUACACACCAUACAUUUUAGGAUAUUUCUUCCUACACCCCUACAUUCUUUGCAAUACCAAAAUUAUUCUUGAUAAUUUUGGAAGAUUAUGGAAUAAGGGUUCUGUAAGCGUUUCCAGAAUAGAGGUUCUAUAAGCAAAGUAUGUUUUCAUAAUAGAAAAUCCAGAAGACAAAAAACCAUUAUGGAACAUCUUUUCUGGAAUACAUUUUUUUAAUUUUCUGAAUGGUAAAUCAGAAAUUCAUAAAAUAUAUUCCAAAAAGUAUGUUCUGAAAAUAUUUCAGAAAGAGUAAUCAAGAAGUCAUUUUUUAAAUGCGUAAAAUGAUCUUUUCCAAGAAUGAUGGGGUGCAGGAAGUCCUUUGUUGGGGUGCAGGGAGAAACACCCUACAUUUUAUUGAAAAGACUGGGCUCAUUUUGGAUAACCUAGCCCUUGCACUAUUCCACACUCGUUCUUUAUAUCCUCACCCCUAGUCUUUUAAAAAACCUGGACCUAUUCAUUAGGCCUAACAUUUCUACUAGUUUCCUCGCACUUUUUAAUAUACGCAACAUCUUUUUAUGCAAAAGACUAGGCCUAUUUAUCUGGCCCAUUACUUUUGCUAUUCGAAAUUUGGACUCUUUCUUCCUGCACCUCCAUACCUUCUUCUCUCACCUCCAUAAAUUUUCAAAUUUCCGAAAAUGCCCCUAUAUAAUAUUCCGGAUUAUGUAAUCCGGAAGUCAUUUUUUAAAUUUGUAAUUACCUUCCGGAUUACAUAAUCCGGUAGUCUUUUUUCAGAUACAUGAUUACUUUUCGGAUUACAUAAUCCGGAAGUCUUAUUUAGCUUCCGGAUUAUGUAAUCCGGAAGUCUUUUUUCAAAUGAGUUUCCGAAUUACAUAAUUCGGAAACUACUCUAUGGGGGUGGCACAAGAAGGAGAAAAAUGUAUUUUCAUGUUGUGUAUGGAGGUGGCAGAAGAAGAUAUGGAGGUGCAGGAAGAAACAGUCCGAAAUUUGUUCUUUACAUUCUCAGCCUAGCUUUUUAAAAAAUAUGGGCCCAUUCAUUCGACCCAACCUUUCCACUAUUUACCACCCGGUUUUAAUAUAUAUACAAUCUUUCAUGAAAAGCCUGUACCCAUUUGGUGGCCCAUCAACUUUUACUAUUUCCCACUGCCUUUCUGUUUAUGAAUCCACCAGUUUUUAUUUGGCUGCUUCUUCCUGCACCUCCAUACCUUCUUCUCUCACCUCCAUAGAUUUUCGUAUUUCCAAAAAUGCCCCUCUGUAAUAUUUCGGAUUACAUAAUCCGGAAGUCAUUUUUCAAAUUUGUAAUUAGCUUCCGGAUUAUAUAAUUUGGAAAUCUUUUUUCAUAUGCAUGAUUACUUUCCGGAUUACAUAAUCUGGAAGUCUUUUUUCAAAUACGUUUCUGGAUUACAUAAUCUGGAAGCUAUUCUAUGGGGAUGGCACAAGAAGGAUAAAAUUGUAUUUUCAUGUUGCGUAUGGAGGUGCUAGAAGAAUAUAUGGAGGUGCAGGAAGAAACAGUCGUUUAUUUUAUUUAAACAAGUGUGGGCUGGUUAUUUUAGCCCAACAUUUAUGCUAUUUGCCACUAAUAUUUUAUAUAUACAAUCACCAACUUUUUUUGUGUGAAAAUUAAAAAUAAAUAAAUAAAAAAUUUGCGCUACAUCUAAAUAAAUUUUAGAUAUCUAUUUGACCAGACAAAUAAUUUGAUAUUUAAUACUAUUGUGUUAAGUAUUUGUAUAAUCAUAUGCACUAUCUUUUAUUCAAUACUUUUAUACCAAAAAAUUAAAAAAAAAAUUAAUAAAAUUUAUGCAAACAAUCUGUAGUAUUGUACAUAAUGCUAUCUCCGCUUAUUCACUCGCAUGCAUGAAUCAUAAAAUCAUAAAUCAAAGAAAUAUUAAAAGGAUAAUAAUUAAAGAUUUUAAAAACAUAAUUCAAACACAUGAAUAAAAAAUAUUUAUUCCUUAAAAUUACGUAAAUUUUGAUAUUUUUUUUAUGAAUAGAAAAGUGUAGGAACAAGAUUAAUUCUUGUCGAAUUCAAAUAAUUUUAAAAAGAUCUUUAUUUUCAUAUGCUUUUUUUAAAAAAAAUAAAUAAAUAUUUAAAAAAUUAUUUUUAUUUACAUAUAUAUAUAUAUAUAUAUAUAUAUANNNNNNNNNNNNNNNNNNNNNNNNNNNNNNNNNNNNNNNNNNNNNNNNNNNNNNNNNNNNNNNNNNNNNNNNNNNNNNNNNNNNNNNNNNNNNNNNNNNNCUUGCUAGAAUUCUUCUUUACCUUCCUAGCCUCAGUCGGAUCCAGCGGGAGAAGGCCAUCCGCCAGGCACCGCUUGUACUGUGUUAUCCAAGUGUCUGGCUCAUGGGUAGCGCAGACCUGCAUCACGUUCACCUUCUCUCCCCGACAUGCUCUAAUUCUCGGCGAUCUCAGAGUUUCUUGCGUCAGGGACUUAUGGCUUCUCAAAUGAAUUUAUCUUAAAUCUAUAUCCAUAUUUUUGGAUUUUUAGUUCAAUUCAUUUAAUUGGAUAUGAAUUAAUUAUAGAUUGUAUACAUUUUUAAUUAUCCAAAUAGAUUUUGGGUUGGAUUUUGACUUGACCUGGACUCAUGUCGAACCGAGUCAAUUCAAACAGAUUGAUGUCAAGCCAUUUUAUAAAGUAUAUUUAAUCUAAUUAACAAAGUAGACUUAAUCUAGAUUUAAUUUAUUUGAAGUCCAAUCCAUUUUAUUAUGAUCCAUAACCCCUGUAGUUGUACUAAUUUUUUAAUAGAUUUUACAUUCACUCACACAAUAAUUUAAUUACUUUCCUUAUUAAAUUAGAACAACGGGUUAUCGUCACUCUUAUGAACACAAUGGUAAGAUUUUCUCUGUUUUUAUGAAAUAUCGUGUUAUUUAAUUCAAAGUGCAGACUCUAGGCUUUAUAGCCAUACAAUUAAAGAUGAAAAAAACUGAUUCUACAUCCACUAACUCCACAUAUGAAUUUAUGGGUGGUUUCCUAAAUGCAUGGCACCUAAUUCCUAAAUAAUAGGUGGUUUCCUAAAUGCAUGACACAUGAUCCCUAAAUAAUAGGUAACCACUAAACAAAACAAAAAAUACAUUUAAUUGCUAACAAUUCCCUCCCUUAAACUAGAUGCAGUGGGAUUUAGUUUAUCUUUGAAGCUUCCAACAUGCCCAACAUCCUACGCAGCUUUGAGAAUUAUUCUAACUUGAGUGGCUUGGUCAUUAUAUCAGCAACCUGAGUUUGUGAGCUGCAGUAAUUUAACUUGAUAGUUCCAUCUUUCACUAAGUCUCUUAAAAAAUGGAAUUUAAUAUCUAUAUGUUUGCUCCUCCCAUGAAACACUGGAUUCUUUGAUAAUUGUAUCGUGGAAUUGUUGUCACAGAAAAUCAAUAUGUUUUUAUGUUCUUCAAGGCCCAAUUUCUCGAACACCCUUUUAAUCCAAAUACAUUGACAUGUACAAGAUGCAACGACUAUAUACUCCGCUUUUGUGUUGGAUAAUGUGACCACUGGUUGUUUCUUUGAGGACCAUGAGAUGCUCCAGAGCAAAAUAAAAAUACAAAUCCAGAAGUGCUUCUUUUAUCGUCUAUAUCUCCAGCAAAAUCACUGUCAGAAUAUGCUACAAUCUUUGCGUUUUCCCCUUUCUUGUAGUAAAUACCUAGUUCAGUUGUUCCUUUCAAGUACCUUAAUAUUAUUUUGGCUGCAAACCAGUGAGAUUCAGUGGGACUGGACAUAAACUUGCCAAUCAAACUUACUCCAUACAUUAAAUCUGGUCGAAUUGCAGUCAAAUACAUAAGACUACCUACUAUUUGUUUGAACAAAGUUGCAUCAACCUUGGUUCCUGCAUCAUUUUUUGACAAUCUUGUGCCAAGAAUAAUUGGAUUCUUGACUGCAUUACAGUUUUCCAUGCCAAACCGUGUUAAUACUUCUUGAGCAUAUUUCCCCUGACAUAUGAAAAUUCCAUUUGAAUUUUGAAUAACAUCAAUACCAAGAAAGUACCUCAUUUUGCCUAAAUCUGACAUAUCAAAAUUUGUCAUCAUGGAUCUUCUAAACUCAUCACGCAUACUUCUAUCAUUUCCAAUGUGUAUUAAGUCAUCAACAUAAAGACUUACAAUUAGAAUUUUACCUCCCUCCUUUGAUUUUGUGAACAGUGUAUGUUCACAAAGGCAUCUAUCAAAUCCAUUUUGAACAAAAUAAGCUUCUAUUUUGUUGUACCAAGCUCUUGGUGCUGGUUUAAGGCCAUAAAGUGCCUUUUUUAAAUUUGUACACUUUCUCUUCUUCACCCUUUUUCACAAAACCAUUUGGUUGUUGCACAUAGAUAUCCUCUUUAAGGUCACCAUGAAGAAAGGCACUUUUCACAUCUAGCUGAAACACAUUCCAGUUAUAUUGUGCUGCUAUAGCAAGUAUUAAGCGAAUUGUGUCAAGUCUAGACACCGGGGCAAAUACCUCUGUGUAAUCCACUCCAUAUUGUUGCACGUACCCUUUGACUACUAACCUGACUUUGAACUUGUCAAUUGCUCCAAUCUCUUUAAAUUUAGUUUUGAAGAUCCAUUUGACUCCAAUUGGAUUUACUCCUUUUAGCAUAUCAGUUAGCUCCCAAGUCAUGUUUUUCUCUAUUGAUUCCAUCUCUUUUAUCAUAGCAUUUCUCCACUUCUCACUCUUAACAGCUUCCUCAAAUGAGAUUGGAUCAUCCUCAAUGACUAUCAUUACAUUUAGGCCAUUAUCAUCUGAUAAACCUUCUCCUUUUUCGUAAUCUUUCAUCCAAAAUGGUUAUGUCCUACUCCUUCUAACCCUCCCUUCAUCUAGAGUCUCAUAAUUAAUAAUAAGAGAGUCACUAGAAUAAGUAUCAACACUUCCAAAACUAUUCUCAAUAUCUUCAUUUUUAUCCUCGGUUUCUUGAGCAUCAAUACUUUCCACAACGUUUUCUUCAAACUGUUCUUUGGAAUCACUCACAUACUCUUCAUUAUCUUCCCACUUUAGAAUAUCUUGUUGAUGUUCUUCUAUAUUUUGCUUCCAAUUCCAACCCUUUUGUUCCUCAAAAAAUCACAUCUUUGCUAAUUAAAACCUUGUUGUUGAUGGGAUCAAACAAUCGGUAUGCCUUUGAUUCAUCACUUACUCCUAGGAGAACACAUUUCUUGCUUUUAUCAUCCAGUUUUACUUUAUGUUGAUCCGGUACAUGGACAUGAGCCAACAUCCAAAUACUCGAAAGUGAUCAAUAGUGGGCUUCACUCCACUCCAUGCUUCUUCAGGAGUUUUGUUUGUACAACUACUAUAGGACUUCUAUUGAGAAUAUGAACACACAACCUUGCAGCUUCAGCCCAAAAUAUUUUAAGCACUUGUUUUUCAAUAAGCAUAGAGUGCACCAUGUUCAUAAUCGUUUUGUUCUUCCUUUCAGCAACUCCAUUUCGUUGAGGUGUGUAGGGUACAAUCAGCUGCCUACGUAUGCCAUGACUUUUACAAAAUUCACCAAAUUCAUUUGAAGUGAAUUCACCUCCUUUAUCUGUCCUCAAACUUCCAAUGUUGACACCUACUUCCUUUUCAACCAACACCUUGUACCUUUUAUAGAAUGAAAAAAAUUCUGAUUUUUCAUUCAUGAAAUAAAGCCAGAUUUUCCGGGAGUAAUCAUCUAUUUAAUUUAGAAUAUACCUUUUGUUGCUGCUUGAAAUUGGGUUGAUAGGUCCACAUAUUUCUGCAUGCACAAGUUGAAGUUUGUUUGAUGCUCUCCAUAGACUUUCGGUGUUGUUUCCCAGCCAAACAAUGUGUACAGAUCUCUCUUGGAACUAUGACAGUAGGCAGUCCAUUCACCAUUUGUUUGGAGGAAAGUGUCUUCAAACCACUGUAGCUUAAAUGACCAAAUCGGUUGUGCCAAAGAUGUGAUCCUUCCUUUAGUUCCAUUUGAAAACAUUUUGAAUUCAAAGGUGUUUGGGUAGCUGUUAGUGCAAACAUCUUAUUUCCCUUCAUAUCUAUUUUCAUAAUCUGUCCUCUUUCUGGGUGAGAGACUUUACACUUCCCGUUCUGAAUUAGUAUAAACAAGCCUUUCUCUUGGAGUUGUCCUUUGCUUAGCAAAUUGUUCGUCAGUUCUGGAACAUAGUAUACAUGUGAGAUUACAUGUGUGACUCCGUCAACAUUCAACCGAACACUUCCUUUCCCCAUUACAAAUAUUUGAGUGUCAUUGCCAAGUUUUACUGCAUUUCUAAAGUUCUCAUCUAAUUCUGAGAACCAAUUUUUGUUACCACUCAUGUGGUCACUGCACUCGAAGUCAAGAAACCAUUCAUCUGUUUUCCCUUGCUUAAAAUCAAGAGAAGUCAUUGGCAAGAGUUCAUCAUCUUGAUCUAUCUUAUCUUCCACCUCAGCAUAAUUUAUUUUUUUCUCCCAGGUAGGAGAUUCAUAUUAGAAAUGUCCAUGUUUGUGACACUUGAAACAUUCAAUUUCAGCUUUGUUGAUUGACUGUCUCCCUCUUCCCUCUGCCACAGAAAGAACCUCUUCCUUUUCCUCGUCCUCUUCCUCCCAUAUCUUCAUAAGUAAUCUGAAGUGCUUGUUCCUCCUCAACAUGACACAACAUCCUUUGCUCAUGAACUAAAAGACUACUUUGCAGUUCAUCGAUUGUCAGUGUUCAAAUUGUUGGAUUCUUCAAUUGAGCACACAACAUAAUUAAAUUUCAGGGUCAUGGACUGUAAGAUUUUUGCAGCAAUAAUGUCCUCUCACAUGCAUUCUCCACACGCCUUCUCCACACGCCUUCAUACUUUUAACAAUUUUCAAGGUGCGGGCAAAGUAUUCAUUCACCCUUUCAUCUUCCUUCAUUUGCAGAAUUUCAAAUUCUCAACGCAAAGCUUGCAAUUGUGCCUUUUUCACCCUUGUGGACCCUUGAAAUUUUUUCUCAUGAAGUCCCAAAUUUCUUUGGAUGUAUCAUCAUUGAGGAUAGUAUCUAAAAUUUCACGAACGAUGGCUUGAUACAAAUAGUUCUUUAUCUUCAAGUCCUUCAGCUUUUGUUCUUCCAUGGCCUUGAGUUCAACUUCUGACGCAGUUGUUUUAUCUGUAACAACUGAGAUCCCAUUCUCUACCAAAUGCCAAUACUCCUUAGAGCGAAGAAAACUCUCCAUGAGUUUUGCCCAAUGAUCAUAAUGCCCAUCAAAUCUAGGGAUUGCAGGUUGCACAUAUUUGUUCUUGUUCAAUUCUGCCAUGUCCCUUCUUAUUUUCAAUAGAGAGAAUUGUUGGUUUCUUUCACUCAGAGGUGUGCUCACACACUCACUCACAACUGUUUCUCUCACACUUAACAAAAUUCUAGAUCAGACCCCUAUGACGGAGCUCUGAUACCAAUUGUGAACACAAAAGUAAGAUUUUCUCUGUUUUUGUGAAAUCUUGUGUUACUUAAUUCAAAGUUCAGACUCUAGGCUUUAUAGCCAUAUAAUUAAAGAUGAGAAAAACUGAUUCUACACCCACUAACUCCAUAUAUGAAUUUGUGGGUGAUUUCCUAAAUGCAUGACACCUAAUUCCUAAAUAAUAGGUGGUUUCCUAAAUGCAUGACACAUGAUCCCUAAAUAAUAGGUAACCGCUACACAAAACAGAAAAUACAUUUAAUUGCUAACAACUCUUCACAGCCUCAACCUCACCAAGUUCUUGGAUUCUGCAUCUGCUCGUCCAUGUCUUUCCUCUGUUGCAGAUGAGUCUAAUUCCAUUUUUUCCACUGCCUUUCUUUCAUUUGAUAGACAAGAUCUAGCCAUUGUAGCUUGUUUUCAUUUGAUAUACAAGAAAUUGUGAAUGCUUCUACGAACACCUACAAGAGACCGUUCAAUUUUGGUCUUCUCCAAGACAUCAAGAAAUCCGUAGAUUUCUUGGUUGCUGCUGAAUCGCCUAUCUCCAUUGAAGAACACAUUGAAAUAAUUCUCGAUGGCUUAUAUGAAGAAUACGAUGCCUGCAUUACCUCUUUAAUGUCUUGAACUGAUCCCUAUACAGUAGAAGAAGUCAAGGCUCUCCUUUCGGCUUAAGAAGGGCGCUUAGAAAAAUAUCACAACAAUAACGAUCAUAUUUAUCAAGCUCAUGCUACUUCUUUUACUUACUCCAAGUUUUCUCCAAACACUCUACGAUACACUCGUGGUUCUUCAAGAUCCACGUUCACCACAAACCUUUUCGAUUUGCUGGUGCAAGAUCUUCAACAAAACCUUCGUGGACCUCUUCUUCAUCUUCUUCAAACUCCACUAGUUCCACCAAGAUUCAGUGUCAAAUCUGCUAGAAAAUGGUUCAUUGCGCUUUUGAUUUCUGGCAUAGGUAUGAUCGUCACACUGCAUCUCCAAUUUUUGCUAACCACUCACAGUUUUCUCCUUCUUUAAGCAACAAUGAUGAGCCCUCCAUUCUCGGUUCUCCUCCCUCUAUCAUGAAUCUUUUUGGUACCUUGACAGUGGUGAAUCACAUCACGUUACACAUGAUGCCUCAACUCUCAAUGCCAAAACUCCAUAUACUGGAUCUGAAAUCGUCAAAAUAAGUAAUGGUUCUGGCUUAUAUAUCAAACAUAUUGGUUCAACAAAUUUCAUUAAUCCAAAUAAUCAUUACAUAUUUUCUCUAAAUAAAUUACUACUUAUUCCUCACAUCAAUAAAAUCUUCUCAGUGUCUUUCAAUUUUCCCAUGAUAAUGUUGUUUUCUUUGAAUUUCAUCCUCACCAUUGUCUUGUCAAAAAGUAGGACACAAAUAAGAUACUCCUUCAAGAAAAGCUUAGGAAUGGUUUAUAUGUUUUCUCAAAUUUGGUUCCUUACUUUCAAUCAUCUACUAAUGUUACUAUUCUUUUGUCUACAACUGAUACUUAUACUCUUUGGCUAAUGACACUAUUAUCCAUCGUAUUAUGAAGCACUGCUUUCUUUUUCUGCAAAAAAAGGUUUCUAUGAUUCAUGCAUUAUUGGCAAAGCUCAUUAGUUACCCUUUUUUUAUUCCCACACAGUUUACACUACACCCUUACAACUAGUUUAUAUUGAUAUUUAGGGACCAUCUCCUACUGCAUCUUCUAAUGGAUCAUACUACUACAUUGCCUUUCUUAAUGCUUACACGAGAUACAUUUCGUUUUAUCUUUUACAACGUAAAUCUCAAGCUGCAACAAUUUUUAAAUCUUUCAAAAUAUUUGCUGAGAAACAAACCAGUUUUCAACUUAAAGCUAUUCAAACAAAUAAUGCAAAAGAAUUUUUAUGCAUUAAGUCAUAUCUUGACGAACAUGGCAUCAAUCACUAUUUAACUUGUCCAUACACCCAUGAGAAAAAUUGGUCAAUUGAGCGAAAGCAUCGUCACAUUACUGAAGUUGGUAUGACUCUCUUGGCUUAUGCAUCUCUUCCUAUUAAAUAUUGGGGCGAAGCUUUCACUAUUGUUGUGACCAUCAUUAAUGUUUUACCAUCACCGAUUAUUAAAUUUCUUAAUCUUUAUCAUUUUCUUUUCAAACAGCACCCUAAUUAUUCUUUUUUUUAAACCUUUGGAGCCCCUAGUCAUGAAUUAUCGGUCGUUAUAUGUUAUUAUUGUGUUCGGUAUGUCGAACCGACACACAAUACUUUGCCAUACGAAAUUUUGCACAUUUUUUGUGGAGAUGGAUGUGAGUGGCUCGGCCUCGAUCCAUUUUGUGAAGUAUUCGACUCCGACAAGGAGGAACUUCGUUUGCCCCUUUUCUGGUGCGAAGGGGUCGAUGAUGUUCAUCCCCCAAAUGGCAAACGACCAUGGGGAUGUGAGGCUAUGCAACACUUCUGGUUUUGCAUGGUGUAGGGGGCUAAACUCUUGGCAUUUGGCACAUCUCUUCACAUAUUCCGUGUAGUCCCCCUGGACGAUUGGCCAAUAGUAGCCGACUCUGAGGACUUUGGCAUCCAUUGUCCGCGCUCCCGAGUGGUUGUCACAUACCCCCUUGUAUAUCUCUUUGAGAACAUACUCGACCUGUUCCUGGGUGAUGCACUUUAGCAGGGGGUCGAGUAGCCUCUGCGGUAUAGAUCCUCAUUCAGCAUAGUGUACUGAACGCACUGCUGCUUCAUGAUUUUCUCUUCUUCUGGUUUGCAUGUGUCAUGCUCAAGGUACUAGACGAUAGGGGUCAUCCAGCUAUCGACUUCGACAUCAGCAACUGCCAGGCACUUGGUCUCUGAGACGUUGGGGUGUCUUAGUCAUAUUUGCAUGACUGAUCUCUGGUGGCUCUUUUUCUUGGUAACUGAAAGUUGAUAUAGGGCGUCGGCCCUCUUGUUCUCUUACCUUGGGAUGUGUUCUACUGGUGCCUUGUGGAAACGGACGAUGCUGUUUCGGGCGACAUGGUAGUACCGCUGUAGCAGGGGUUCCUUGACCUCGAACUCCCCCUUGAUCUGGCCAACCAUAACUUGGGAGUCACUUUUGCAUGUUACUUCAUGGGCUCCCAUGUCGUAUGUUAAGUUUAACCCAGCGAGCAGGGCCCUGUACUCGGCCUAGUUAUUGGUGGCCUUGAAUCCGAACUGGAUUGCUUGAUCUAAGAGGAGGUCGCCCGGUCCUUCGAGGACGACUCCUACUCCACUUGUUGGUGGAGUCGUUGACAUAAAGUAUCCACCCUACCGAGAGGUUUGGCAGUGGUUUGAGCUUGAUCUAGAAGUCGGUCAGGCACUUAGACUUGACGGCGCCUCUCGGUUGGUACCAAAUGUCAAAUUCAGAGAGCUCGACUGGCCAUCCUAUCAUUCACCCUGCAAGUUCGGGUUUAGAUAAAAAAUUUAAAAUGUGAUAGUCAGUCCUUACAGUGAUGGAGUGGUUCUGAAAGCAGGAGCACAUUCGCCUUGUCAUUAAGACGAGGACGAGAGUCACUUUCUAUCUUGUUUCGGCCGCAUGGAGCGUCCGACUAACGAAGUAUACCGAUCGUUCUUCUCCCUCUACUUCCUGCACUAGCGCAGCACUGACCACCUCCUCCGAAACCGCUAGGUACACUAGGAUAGGAUGAUCAGGCCUCAGCUUCUGAAUGAUUGUCGGUGAUGAUAGAAAAUCCUUCAACUGCUUAAAGAUUUCUUCACACUUUUCCUCCCAACUAAACUUGAUUGUCUUUUGCAGUAGCUGCACCAUUGGUCUCAUACGUUCGGCCAAGCGGGGACGAACCUGGAGAGGUUGUGAGGCACCCUAUGAGCUGUUGUACCUCCUUUAUGUUCUUAGGGCUCCGUAUGUCGGUAAUGGCCCAACAUUUGUCCUGGUUGGCCUCUAUCCCCCUGUGCGUUAACAUAAAAACCAGAAACUCCCCCCCCCCCUUCAACUUCGCAUGUGCACUUUUCGGGGUUGAGCUUCAUGUUGGCUCCCCUGAGGGCCUUGAACACCUCCCCGAGGUCCUUGACGUAUCGGUCAAACGAGUCCGACUUCACGACGAUGUCGUUCACAUAGACCUCUACGCACCGACCAAUUAGUCCUUGAAAGAUUUUGUCCAUGAGUCGCUGGUAGGUCGCUCCCGUGUUCUUGAGGUUGAACGACAUGACCUCGUAGUAGUAGUUAGCAUCGACCGUCAUGAAGGUCGUCUUCUCUUUGUCCCAAGGAUGUAUACUUAUCUGGUUAUAGCCAGAGUAAGCACCCAGGAAGCUGAGAAUUUUAUGAUUGGUCGCUCCAUCCACUAACCGAUCGAUGUUGGGAAGGGGGUAUGAAUCCUUCGGGCAUGCACUAUUCAAGUAUUUGUAGUCCACACACAUCCUCCAAUUACCGUUCGCUUGGUGACUAUAACGACGUUGGUCAACCAAGUUGUAUACCGAGCCUCGCGUGUAAACUGGUCGACAAAAGCUUUUCAGCUUCUGCCUCAGCUGCUAAACGCUUCUCGUCGCCGUAAUAUCUCUUCUUCUGCGUGAUCGGUCGCGCUUCCUUGAAUACUGACAGUUUGUGCGUGAUGACGUCCGAGCUUACCCCCGGCAUAUGAACAAGGUCCACACGAACAGAUCUAUGUUCUUCAUUAGCAUGGUGUGUAUUAUCUCGGCCUCAACAGUCGCCAUGGUCGUGCCUACGCAGGUACUGUGCUCCUCAUCUAGGAGGGGCACUCGUCGUAAUUCUUUCCUGUCCUCCAGCCUAUCCUUAGUCGUUCGGGGGUCCAGGUCCCUUAAAGCGACUACGGGUUCCAUCGGUAUCGGCUGGGCUUCUCGAGGGGAGUCAUGUUUCCGAGAAGAUUUAUGUUUGGGGGAGCGGUCGUUCCUCAAAGGCUCCACCCUCAGGCUUUUGGCAUAGUAUUCUCUUGCUUCCUUUUGGUCGACAUGGACCAUGAGGAUAUCCCCUGACAGUAAAGGGAACUUCAUCGCCAGGUGGGGUGUUGACACGAUCGCCAUCAGUCGAUUGAUAGACGGUCGUCCAAGGAGGAUGUUGUAAGAGGUAUUUGCAUCGAUCACCAAGUAUCAGAUCUUUAUGGUUUUGCAAUUCUUCUUCUCACUGAAGGUGGUAUAAAGCUCGAUAUAGCCUUUAGUACCCACCUUUUCGCCCGAGAAGUCGACCACAUGGUCGUCAUAUGGCACCAUCUCGGCUUCGGGUAUCCUUAUGGCUUUGAAGGUUUUCCAGUAUAGGAUGUCUAUUGAACUUUCUUGGUCCACCACCAUCUUCCUGACGGUGAACCUGUCGAUAUCAACCGAUAUCACCAUAGGAUCAUCUUGCCGGUAGUCAACACCUUUGAAGUCAUUGUUGGUGAAGGUGAUGGGCGACAUCCUCAGCCGGAAUGUCACUGCGUUCACCUAAUGUAUUUCCCAAAGAUGCUUCUUUCGGCAGUGUUGGUGCUUUCUCCGCCGGCAAAUCUGCCAGCGAUUGUGUUAAUAACCUUUCGGUCUCCCGUGGAGGGUCGUCUCUUCGCAGAGGGUCGUCCAUCCUUAAUCGUCACUUGUGGCGAUCUCGGUCAUACUCGUGGUCUUGGAGGCGAACGUCUCCUUUUUGCGAGCUCGUCUAUGGGGAAGAGAGUGCCUCGUACCUCGGCUACCCCUGACGAACUAGCGUAGAUGUCCAGCCUAAAUGAGUUCUUCGAUCUUGUCUUUUAAAGCCUGCCACUCUUCAGUAGAAUGCACGCUAUUCUGGUGAUGCCGACACUGCUUUCUUUGGUCAACAUUGUCUGGGCUUGCUACUUUCCUGGGAGGAGGGAUCAGCUCGGCAUUGAGUGCCUCAUCUAGAAUUCUUCCCCUUUCAGCCGUCAAGGGGGUAUACUUCGAGAACUGGCUUCCUCGGUUAUCUUUAUGCCUGUCGCCUCGGUGGCUUGACCGGCCUUGGCGAUCCUUCUCCUCAUUGCUCUUCUCCCCGUUGGCCUUUGCUCAGGCUUGGUUGCGAAACUCCCUCAACUUCUCCAGCUGCAUGAACUUGGCUUCUUUUCUAAGAUCAUCCAGGCUAGCGCCCGACUGCAUACAAAGAUUGUUGGAAAACGGUUCCAGUCACAGGGUCGUUAACAUAUGGUGCAUGGCAACGUCCGAGCUAAGGUUUCGGAUACUCAUUGCCACCUUGUUGAACCUGUCAAUGAAGGUUCUCUGCGAUUCUCCCUUAUCCUAGCGAAUGCCAACCAGGACGAUGGAGGUCAGGUGGUGCGGCCUGCUAGUAGCAAAUUGGGUCUCGAACUUCGAUACGAGUGUUGCGAAGUUGUCAAUGGAGUUGGGCGGGAGCUUGGUGAACCAACUGAGGGCUCCUCCCUUCAAGGACGUGGGAAACACUCGGCAUAACACUGUGUCGUUCGAUGUGUAGAGACUCAUAUGGGUGGUAUAUAUGCUCGUCUGGGCCGGUUGUACCAUCAUAUCGAUCCCUGUUGAAGCCCUUCCAAUUGUCCGACAAUGGAGCUUCUAUGACAACAUUGGUGAAGGGGUGUCGACGAACCGAGUCCAGGGUGACAGUCGUCCUAGCCGACUUGUUGAGACAGGAUUCACCAUCCAUCUCAUGGGUGGGAACCUUGUCCUUGAUCUCCUCAACCGGUCUCGGGUUGGAAGGGGAGGUGUAGGACCUGCCGACAACAUUUGUCGGCCCAGCAGAUGGUUCUCCAUCUACCAGCUUCUUUUUCAUCUCCUCAUUCUCUACGCGGAGAGCAUGCAUCUCCUGCUUGUUCUUUCUCGUGACUUAUUCUUUCUCUUCAUCUCGACCAUCUCUCUCUGCAGAGACAACAACAUCGCCAUCUGGUCGACUUCACUCAUCCUUUCCAUGCGUUAGGUUGAUACCAUAUACUUUUGUUCCUCAAUCAAAUUCUCUCGGCUCCGCGGUGGGCACUAAUUGUUCCUGUUAGGGAGAUGAGACCUAGAGAACUAUUGAGAGGUUUCGUCUUUCUCCUUCCUAUUGGGCGGUCGAUCUACACUUCAGCUUCCUCUCCCUGACUUUCUGCUACUCCUUAGGGUCUUGGUCACUCGAUCACUCAGUUUUCUAAAGAAUACCGAAUGGGGGGUACCAGCAGAAAACACUCUGACGCUCAAGUUAGCAAAGGGUGUUCGACACUCGAAUGUUAGAGUACGGUAAUAAAUGACGUACCUAAUUCUUGGAAUGUGCGUUACCUAGUUCUUAGCCAGUGUUUGGAUCUGGGGGUGAUACUGUAGUCGACAACGGAUGUUGAGUGCCACCCCUGUUUGGUUCCAGGGUUGCAUGCGGGGGGAGGGAGGUGAUGGAGAGAAAGGGAAGAGGUUACGCGAUCAGCUAAAGAAUGAAGAGAAAGGAUAGAGUAGUGAAUGGAAAGCCACGUCACACAUAAGAACUUACGAAUUUACCCUUCCUUUUCUUCAUUCAAUCUGCACGAGCUCUCUUCCAUGCACUUGCAAUGUUUACGCAUGGCAUGUGAAACUUCAGAAUUCACUCAAAGAAACUCAAACUAUCUUUACAGACUUGUGAAUUAGUUCACUAGGGUUGGAGAGGUUCGUGAGGCAUCAUAGUGGUAGGGGAGUGAGUUUCGUAGUGGUUGUUUGGUCUCAGGUUAGCAUUGUCUUGGUUUUGUAUAGCACAUAAUCGAUUAUGAGUGAAAAAGAAUAAAGUACAUAAUCGAUUAUGCUAUUAAAAAUAGUGGAUAAUCGAUUAUGCUCUUGAGAUAAUCGUUAUUUUUUUCGACCAUAAUCGAUUAUACAUUUUGUGUAAAAGUGAGGGUAAUCGAUUAUGUAUUUGAAUAAUUGAUUAUGUUAAUUUUUUAACUAUAGAAAUAAUCGAUUUUGUUAGUUUUUUUCAAAUUUGUGAAUUUUUGUGUUAAUUAAAUUUUUUUUUAAUAAUAAUUUGUAUUGUUUUGCAAAUAUUAUUAGUAAUAAAAUAAUAUAAUCAUUUUCAUGAAAAUUAAUUAUAUACAUUAAUUUAAAAUAAAAAUAUUAAGAUAGUAAUAAAAUUUGUAUUAUAUUAUUUAAAAUUAAAUAAAUAAAUUACAUAUUUUUGCUAUUAAGAAUCAUUUGAAUGAAUUUGUCUUAAUUAAAAUUCAUUCUAAAUCUAGACCAAAUUAAUAUAAUUAUUAUUUUUUAUUGAUUAGUAGGAGGUUUUUUUUUCAUAUUAUUCAUAAAACAUUAAAUUUUCUUUUCAGGUUUUAGAAUAUUCCUUUAUUUUUUAAUUCUUUUGUUUACAAAAGUAUUUUUUAACAUUUAUUUCUUUAUUAAAAAAGAUUUUGUUUUUAUUUGAAAUUAUUAUUUUGAUAAUAGGAAAAUAUAAACUGCAUUUUUUUCUCUAUCCAAUCAUUCAAUACUUAUGUGUAUUAAAAUAAUACAAUUCAUGUAUUAAUUUAAUAUGUUUUAUUACUUUGAGAUAUUAUAUACAAUCAUUUAAUUUAGGUGUAUUAAAAUAAUAUUUUAUUACUUUGAGAUAUUAUAAUAUUAAAAUUAUCUAAAUACAUUAAAUUAACUAACAAAAUUAAAAUAAAUUAAUAAAUUGAAAAAUAAUAUAAUUAUAUUUACAUUUUAUAUUUUAUUUAUUUAUUUGAAUUUUACAUUAUUUUAUUCUUUUAUUUAUAAUUGAAAUUUUAAAUUAUUUUAAUUGAAUAAAAUGUGCUCAAAAUUAAUUAUCAUUUAUUUUCACACAAGGGUAAAUUUAUAAUCUUAUCACUUACACAAUUAAAAAUAGUUUAAAAUAUUCUUACAAUCAUCACAUCAUUCACAUAUUUCAAUAAAUUUUCUUCACACAUCCAGUGUAACAUACUCCAAUUCUAACACUCUAAACUUUCUUCAGACUUUCUUUUUUAAAUUUUCACACUUCCACUCCUCCACACCCUCAAUUUUCCACUCCCACACACCCUCAACUUUUCACUUCUCCACAUCCUCUAAUCCAAACAAAGCCUUAAUGAUGACUUAACUUUACUGACCUUGAUUGAACGUGAUUGGACCGAAAGUGUCAAUCGACCUAAUCGCUUAAGCCAAGACAGAAUAUUAACGAUUCCACCUAUACCGUUCGACCUAUACCGGUACAAUAGCCUUAAUCAUCAAGAUAUGCUGAAUCAGAAUCACUGUCCAUUUACAAAUUUCAUAAUUUAAGAAUUUUGUGGAUUGCAAAAUUAGGAAAAAACUGUAAGAAAAGGACAAAUUGAAAUUUUUUAUAUUUACAGAAAUAUAAAAAGAAAGAAUAGAGCUACAGGAAGAAAUAGCCUGAUUAUUUUUAAAGAAAAAAAAAACGUAGAUGGAUGGAAAAAAAAAAGGAAAGCAAAUAAAACGAAGAAUAAAAAACAAACAAAUAAAUAAAUAAAUAUAAAAAUAGCUAAUAUUCUCUCAUAUCAUUAAUAUUUUAUUAAUAUUUAUAUUCUCUAUUAAUAUUUUAUUAAAAUUAACUAAUGUAAACUUCAAUAUUUUUUAAAAUGGCUUAUUUGAAUACAUUAUUAUUUUAAAAUAUACCUUUUUUAUUUAUUAAGAUUUUAAAUAAUUUUAUAUUUUAGUUUAACUUUUACUGUAACUCUAAUUUAUAUGUUUUAAAUUUUUUUCUGAAUAUAAAUAUAAAAAAGUAUUCUACCAAGUCAAUUCAAUCACUUACGAUUCUAAAGUUUCUUAUCGUUUAGUUUAAACAUUCAACUUUCGGUUUCUUUCUUCUCUCCUUUUUUCUUAUUCUUUCACCUAUGCCCGACACAAGGCGGCUAAUGGAACACUGAAAAAAAAAAAGGAUGCCUCUGAUUUCACACCCACUUAUCUGGGACCUACUGCAAACACUAAUUUCUAAUUUCUGAUAUUUUAAAAAUCAUACUUUACUCUACAACCAUAAUAAUAAUAAAUAUUAAUAUUUAUAAUUAAACAAAAAUUAAAAGAUUGAAGUAUAGUUAUCAAAUAAACAUUAAUCUUUCCAAAUUCACUAGACAGAUCUUUUUUAUAAAAUAUUUUAUAAAAAAUCUAAAAUUAAAGUGUACUUAAUUAAAAGCUGAAAAUGUCAAUUAAUGUAAAAAUAUUAUCUAAAAUCCAAAAAAAAAUUGGUGUCUAAAAUUAAAAGAAUAUAACCUAAACGUAUUCAAAAUCCAAAUACUAGACCACACUUAAAAAGUGACUGUGUAAGUAUUAUCAACAAAACUGUCACCUAACUGUUAUAACAUGACUUCUUAUAGCGUUUUAGGACACUAAUUUUAAAAAUUUAAUUUAUUACCUUAGAAAAAAAUCAUUACAAACAAUAAAGUAUGAAGUUCCGUUUCUAUCCAAGUAAAUACUAUUUACUUAUAUAGAAAAAUAAGAAAACAUUUUGUUUACUUUCGAAAAAGGCUAAUUUAAAGGUAAAGGGAUAAACACAAUUUCCUAUAUCAAGUAAAGAAAAAUAAUGAAAGUUUAGGAAAAUUUACACAAUACCUUUAAAAAGUUAAAAUUAUCCUUAAUUAUUUUUUUUAUACACAUAUAAAAUAAUACUUUAUAUAUAUAUAUAUAUAUAUUAUAAUAAAAAAUAUUAUAUAUUUAUAAUAUAAAUAAAAGUGAAAUAAUUAAUUAUAAUAAUAUAAUAUAAUAUAAUAGUAAUAAAACCAACAUAUUUAUAUAAUAAAAUAUAAAUGUAUUUAUAUAGUAAUAAUAAAAGAAAAGAAAUUAGUAAUAUAAAUCUAAAAACAAUGAAAUAAUGAUAGUAUAUUUAAAAUAGAAAUAAUAUAUAAAAAAGUAAUAAAAUUAUAAAUAAUAAUAGUAAUUAAAAUAAAUUUUUAAAAUAAUAAUAAUAAAUUAUAAACAAUAAUAAUAAAAAUAAAAUAAAUAUAAAUUACAUAUUUAAUAAUAAUUAAAAUAAAAAUUUAUUAAAUAAUAAUAUUAACAAUAAUAAAAAAUUAAUUUUAAUUUUGAUUUGAUUUUAUAAAGAUAUUUUUAUAUGUAUUUAUAAUAAAAAAGUUAUUAAAUAAAAAAAAUUACAUCAAAAUUUUUUGAAAUUAAAAUAAAAGUUUUUAAAAUUUAAUACAUUUCUUACUUUAUUUUUAUGACAAUUUUUUAUAUUUAUGAUAAUGUUCAAUAAUUUAUAAUUUUCUUAAAAAUAAUUAUUUAACAGUCUUUUAAUUAAAAUUUUAAAUUUUAAUUAAUUAAAAUUUACAUAAAAAUAUCUCAUAUUUUAUUAUUAAUAAAUUUGUAAACAUAUAUUUUACACAUUUCAAAAAAAUAAAAAUCUUCUUAAAAAAUAAAAAUUUUCUUAUAAUCAUCCUAUUAUUGCAAACUAGUAUAACUAAGUUUAAAUACAAGUUGAAAAUGUUGAAGUCUGACCUAAAAGUAUGGAAUCGUGAUGUGUUCGGGUGUUUGGAAUUGAGUAAGAAAAGGUUGUUGAAGGAUAUUGAGGAUCUUGACAUAAAAGAUAAUUUAUGCGAUCUUGACGACGAAGCAAAGUUGAAAAGAAUGGAGAUUUUCAAUCAACUGAUGGUGUUUGACAACAAGAUUGAAUCCCUAUGUAGACAAAAAGCUAGAGCCUCUUGGCUAAAACAUGGAGAUUCCAAUUCUAAAUACUACCACUCGGUUAUCAGAUGGCGAAGACUUAGGAAUGAGAUCAAAGGGGUUGAGGUAGAAAAUUAGUGGUGUGAUGAUCCCCAAGUUGUGAGGCGGGAAGCUAGGAAGAUGUUUGAAGGAAGAUUUGCGGUUACUCAUGACUUUGGGGUUAGGCUUAGCUCUAUAGAUUUCAAGUCUUUUUCUAUGGAGGAUAGUCUAAGCUUUAUAUCUGGUUUUACUGAGGAAGAAGUAAAAGAUGCGAUGUGGCAAUGUGAUGGCUCCAAAAGCCCAGGUUCGGACGGGUUUAACAUCAACUUCAUUAAGUCGUGUUGGGAUACUCUCAAGCCUGACAUAAUGGAAGUUAUGCUCUCUUUUUCAUGAUACGGGAGGUUUCCCGAAAGGAUGUAACACAUCUUUUUUAGCUCUCAUUCCUAAAGUAAUCGAUCCCAUAAGCGUAGACCAAUAUAAACUCAUAUCUUUAGUGGGCAUUACCAAGGUGUUAUCAGGUUGGAUUAAGAGGGUUCUACCCUUGGUCAUUAAUGUCAGUCAGUCGGCUUUCCUCGGGGAUAGGGGGAUGCUAGACAACGUUCUUAUGGCCAAUGAAGUUAUCGAGGAGCUACGGAGGAAUGGGAGGAGUGAUUUAUGUUUGAAGUGGACUUUGGAAAAGCUUAUGAUUCAGUAAGGUGGGGAUUCUUAUAUGAUAUGCUCUAGAGAUUGGGUUUUCACAAUGUAUGGAUCAAGUGGAUUAAAGGUGUGUGGAGUCUGCCUUAGUGUUUGUGCUGGUUAACAGAAACCCUACUAAAGAGUUCUACCCUAUGAGAGGGUUGAGGCAGGGAGACCCUUUAGCUCCAUUCCUCUUCCUUGUUGUGGUUGAAGGAUUGUCUAGGUUAGUUAGGCAAGCUAUCAAGUCUAACAUGCUCACAUGGGGUGAAGGUGGGGAGGGAUGAGGUUGACUCUUGUUUGCUCCAAUUUGCUGAUGAUACUGUGUUUAUGUGUGAAGACUCGUUCUCUAACAUGUUCACUUUGAAAGCAAUCCUAAGGUGUUUCGAGUUGGCUUCCGAGUUGAAGAUUAAUUUUCAUAAAUCAAUGAUGACAGGAGUAAAUGUGGUUAGGAGUAACCUUGAAUGCUAUGCAAAAUGUUUUAACUGUAAUCUUAUGAGGAUACCUGUCAAAUAUUUGGGGAUUGAAGUGGGUGGCAAUCCGAGAAAAAAAAAGGAGUUUUGGGAGCCAAUUGUGAAUAAAUUUACUGCGAGGCUUAGUGCUUGGAAUGGGAGAUUCUUAUCUUUGGCAGGGAGAAUUUGCUUAAUCAAGUCGAUUCUUACAGCCUUACCUCUAUUUUACCUCUUGUUCUAUAAAGUGCUGGAGUCGGUUUACAAUAGACUCAUUAGUAUUCAAAGGAGGUUCCUUUGGGGGCGAGGAAAGGAGAAUAGAACAAUCUCUUGGGUCGGCUGGGAAAAUGUCUGCAAACCUUUGGAGGAAGGAGAUUGGGGAUUAAAGACAUUAGAAAGUUCAACAGAGCUCUUCUGGCCAAAUGGAAAUGGCGGCUGGUGAGUGAAGAACGAGAGAAGUGGAAGGAUAUUAUGAUCUCUAAAUAUGGAGCUGAAUCAAGUCGAGGUCAGAUGCUCAAGAAAUAUCAAUCUUGGUGGUGGACUUGUCUAAAUUUUGUGCCAAGGAUGAUGUAGAAGGAUGGUUUAAGAAAGCUCUGGUAUGGUAAGCAAGAGCUGGGGACAAAGUCAGAUUCUGGGAGGAUGUAUGGGUAGGCAAUAACGAGCUUAUGUCCUUGUAACCAAGGUUAUAUUCUAUCUCUUUGGACAAGGGACUGACAGUGGGUGAGGUUGGAGAGUGGGAAGAUUCAGUAUGGAAAUGGCGGCUUGGAUGGAGGCGAACCAGAUUUGAGUGGGAAUCCCUAUAAGAAGAAGAAAUGUUAAGGUUUAUCUCCACGGGUUCUCUGAACAAGGAGGUAUAGGACUUUUAGAAGUGGGGAGGUGACGUCAAUGGUGAGUUUACUAUGGAAUCAGCUUAUAAAUGCUUAGCUUUGUGUUCUAGUGAGGGCCAAACGGGCAUUUUCAACCAGUUGUGGCAACUAAAGCUUUCCCUAACGCUCUGGUAACUGCAUGCAGAAUUUUGUUAGAUAGAUUACCUACAAGGGAGCAGCUUAAUCAGGAGAGGGGUGAGGGUCAGUUCGCCUUUAUAUGCGCUUUGUCAAGAAACGGAAGAGAACUCUCAGCAUUUGUUUUUGGAAUGUGACAUAGCUCAAUGUGUCCGGUCCCUAUGUUUUAGAUGGAUAGGUAUUUUGGCCAUCCAACAUAAGGACCUAAGGUACCAUUUCAAGUAAUUCUAUUUAGCGCACUUAAACCCCAAGCAGAAUAAGGUGUGGACAGGUUUGUGGGCGACUGUAGUACGGAAUAUAUGGGAACAAAGAAAUUAUGUUGUCUUUAGGCAAGGAGUCCCUGACACGGAAGAAAUUUUCCAAUUGGCACAACUUAGAUCUUGAAUGUGGCUGAAAUACAGCUUACGUACUUUUAUUUGCUCCUAUUCAUAUUGGCAUCUCAAUUCCAAUCUAUGCAUAAAAAAACUAUGUGUAAAGAGGGAGAUGGCGAUCUAGUUGAUGGAGGGGUGAAGGAAUUGUUGUAGAAGUGAGAGAUGUGGCGUCAAACUCUGAGGAAGCGACAGUGAGGAUUGAAGCGACUAGAAGUGUGAGGCAGCUCUGCUGCUAUACAGCAACUAUAUCUGCAAUCUGUUUUUUGGUGAAGGUUUUACAAAACUGGUGUCCUUGGUUCUGGUAUGCUGGUGCUGGUUUGCUGGUGUAGUUAUUUUAUGCGGCUCUUUGGUUAGCUUUAGCUAGUAAGCGUGUGCUUUUUUUAUGGUCCUGGAGUUUGUGGUUUGCGUUACUUUUUUUUUUUAGAUUGCUCUUUUUUUGCUAGGCAGAGAUGGAAUAGUCUUGAGUUCUGCCUAUGAUAACUUAAAGGUCUUAUAUAAGGUUGAAACAUUUUUGAAAUACUCAUUUUAUUUAAUUUAUUUAUUUUACUAAUAAAAAAGUUAUUAUUGUAAAAGGAAAUAAACUUUUUUUUCUCACAAACCUACUCUAAAAUAUUUUUUAAAAUACUUUAGAGUAACAAUCUUUUUUUUUUAUUUAUAUUUUCCUCUGAAGACACUCCAACUCACUCUCUACCCAAUCCGAACACAAAGUUACAACUGCAACACUUUUAUUUUAAUUUCAGAAAACAUGUGUUGAUUUUUGGGUUUACAUUGCAGACAUGAUUCAUAAUUUGAUAAAAGUACAUUUAUUCUUGAGAAGUAGAAGCAGGUGCAGAGAUGGAUGAGACUAAAUGCAUUAUCCAUGAAGUUCAUUCUGGAACUAGAUUGGAGGUAGGUAGAGUUCGAUAACCUUCUUCCACGAUGGUCUACUGCUUAUGUCAUCCCACCAACCACUCACAUGCUUCCUCUCUCUUAUCAGAUACUCUUUAUUCAUUUUGUUCACAAUAAAAUAUGUUAAUGGAAGAUGACUUAUAUCAGCAAGACUGAAGAAAUCCCCACCCAAAUACUUGCUCUUUGACAGCCUCUCCUCAUAAACAUCCAACACUUUCAACAACUUUGCUUCACUCUCCUCAAUCAACUUUGGAUCUGGCGUGAUGCCAAAAAAUGGAGCAAACAACACAUGCACAGCCAAGUCAUUGGCCGGUGGGUUAAAGUUAUGUGCUUCAACUUCCAGCCAUUGUUCCACAACACCCCUCUCUUCUGGUGUCCUCCCCACCAGCUCAAUCCCCUGAGAUCUGUAUUUGUCUGCAUAAUACCUCAUUAUAGCACGAGAUUCUGCAGAAACAGAUCAAACACAGACAACUUAAAAGGUGGUACCAGUAAGAUCAGAAAUAAUAACUGGAGAAUCAAAAUAUGAACAAAAAAACAAAAGUAUACAGGAGUUGAAAGUGGUACCAUAUAAGGUGUAGUCUCCAUCUUGGAUGACAGGAACAGCUCCAAAGGGCUGCAGAUAUGAUGAACAAAGAAGAUGAGUGAGAAGAUAAAGAAAGACGUAAUCUUGAAGAGUGAUGAGUCUCAGCAAGAAAAGAAAAUUGAACCUGUAACUUGAGAAACUCGGGACCCUUGUGCUCUCCCUUAAGGAGAUCAACUGGGACAACCUCAAAUUCGACCUCCUUCUCAAGGAGACAUACCAGCACCCGUUUAGCGGAAGCAGAGUGAGGACCGUACACCUUCACUACCAUGUUUUGAUUCUCUUCAGAAACCCUUCAACAAGAGUGAUGCAGUGAAAGAGCAAAACACAAUUUUUACUUCCCAGUAACACUUCUUAUAGUGCCCCCUACGCGUGAAAUCAAGCACUGAUUAGGAAUAAAACUCUUAAUAUAAUAAAAGAUUUCUGUAGAAUUAGAUAGAAGUUUUGAGUGAUUGGUCCUUGGAAAAAAGAAGAUCUGAGAUAUAAUUAAAUAUUACAGCUACCAAACAUGAUGGCCAAUGAUCUAUAAAGUAAAGAUGAGGAGAUCACAAUUCAUGUGGUGGAUAUUAUUGUGGUCCACAAAUAAUCAAUGUCUACCUUUAAUUGUAUAGAGUUCCCAUUAGUGUGUAUAAAAUUAAGACAUUUAUAUAACUUAAAAAAAAAUUAUUAAAUAAAAAUUAAUUUUAGAUAUCAAAAUAAUUAAUUAUUAUUUAAUUAAAUUAGAAACUAUUUUAAAAAUUAUUAGUAUAUAAAAUAGUUGUUAUUAUUAUUCAAAAAUUAUAAAAUAAUUUCUAUAUUUGAUAUUAUUAUAAAAAAAAUCAUUAAAUAAAAAUUAAUUUUAAAUAUUAUAAUAAUUAAUUAUUACUUAAUUAAAUUAAAAAUUAUUUCAUAAAUUAAAAAAACUAUUGUUAAUUAAAGUAAUUUUUAUUAUUAAUAGAAAUUUACAAAAUAAUUUCUAAACAGAUAUCUAACCAUUAGUUACUAAAAUUUUAGCUACUUACUACUUUAUAUUAUAUAUUAUUUUUAUUAGUAUAUAUUUUUAUUAGUCUUUUAGAUAUUAAUUUAGAAUUUAAAAUAUUAGUUGCUAAACUUAGAUAGCUAAUUUAGAUAAAACUAUUUUUACAAAUUUUUAUUAAUAAUAAAAUCUAUUUUAAAUAUAAAUAAUUUUUUAAUUUCUAAAUUAGUAUUUAAUUUAGUUAAUGUAGUGACUAAUUAUUUUUUAUUUAUUUAGUUACUAUUUAAUGAUUUUUUUUAUAGUGUAUUGAUGUCUAUUAAACUUAAAUUUAUAGUAUUAUUUUUUUUAUUGAAAGUUGUAAGUAAAAGAUAAAUAUUUUAGAACGUGACUAUUAACUUUCCCCCAAUAAAAUAUAAAAAAAUAUGAAUUAGAAAUUAAAGAUGUUUAAUUAAAAGUUGAGGUAUUAUUUAUAAAUAAAAAACGAAGUAAAAAAUAAAAAAAUUAAAUAGUUUAAUAAUUAUUGACAUAUUUCAUUUUUAUUACAAUACAAUUAAUUUAAAUUAUGUUAAUUUCAUUUUAGUUCUAUUAAUAUUUAAUACAAUUAAACAAUAUUUCUUCUUUAAUAAGUUGUCACGUGUGCUGUGUUUAUUGGAGAAAAAAUUAGUAACUUUAAUUUGUAAUUAACUUAUAAAAAAGCCUUUUAACCUUUAUUUUCUAUUUUAUAAAUUCUUUGUGAUUCUUCCAAAAAAUUUUAAUAAACAAUAAUUAUAAACCAAAAAUACUAAUUGUAUUACCUAAUAGAAUCACCCAACAAAAUGUAAGUUUUUUUACUAAAAGAAAAAAUUUAUUAUAUUGAAACAACUAUUUAUCCAAAUAAAAAUAAUAUUGUCUUUUAAAAUAAGUGACUCUCAACCAAACAAUUCAACUUGUUUUAUUUUUAAGAAUUACUGUUUUCUCAUAAUUCAAGUAAAGCAUCAGUUAAAAUUUAGAAAAUAUUUCUUAAAAUUGUCUAAAAUUAAAAAUAAAUAAAUAAAUGUCAUUUACGCUUCUUAAGAAGAUAAGGUGGCAAAUGAUUGGAAGUUGUAAGAAUUUUAUCCUAUAUUUCAUAAUUCAAAUAAAGUCUUAGUUAAAAUUUAGAAAAUAUUAAAAAUGUCUAAGAUUGAAAAAAAAAAGUGCUCUUUUCGUUUCCUAGAAACACAAGAUAUGGCAAAUAAUUUGAAGUUAUAAGAAUUAUAUGCUCAUCUUUUUCCUUUUUUAUUAUUGUUAUCUAGUCAAAAUAACCUUCAAUUAAUUAUGGAUAAAAAUACUAACAAUUUAACAACUAAUAAAAGUAUUAUGUGAUGUUAUAGUAAUACUAAUAUUGAGAUAAUACUAAGUCCUUAUAAGAGGUGGUACUUGAUCCGUAGGUCAAUUAUCGCGACUUGUCGAAUUGAUAUUUUCAAUUAAUCAACGUAUUUUAAAUUAAAAAUUUAAAUAAAAAAUAGUUUUAACAUAAUAAAUUUUUAUAUUAUAUUAUUUGAAAGAGGAAAAUAUGAAUUAGUAUUGUAAUUUAAAUCAAUAAUAUUUGUAAAUUAAAUUUCAAUUAUUAAUUAUAAUGAAAUAAUUGAAUACAUAAAUGUAAUAAUUAAUUUAAUUUAUUCAUUUAAAGACAUCAAUUAAUUAAUUAAAAACCUAAAAAAUAUUAUAUAAUUAAAUAUUUUUCUAAAAUAUAUAUAUAUAUAUAUAUAUAUAAUUUAUAUAUAUAUAUAUAUAUAUAUAUUAUUAAAUAUUAAUUAAAUAAUUUUUUUAAAAGAUAAAUAUUUUGAUAAAAAAGACAUAAUAUUAUUAAAGAUCAAUGUAAAAGGAUAUAUUUUCUUUUCUUCCAUAUCAAAUAUUAAAGAAUUUGUUUGAAUAAAUAAUAAAUAGAGUACUAAAUACUAAUUGCAUGAAUGUUAAGUAAUUAUACAAAAGAGAAAAAAAUUACACAUAACUAAAAUUUAUUAACAACUACAACAUUUAUUAUUUUUACAAAAAUUUGAAAAAAAAUUAUCAUAAAAAUUUGAAUGAACUUAAUAGUCAUCGAACGAUUUUAGAAUAAAAAUAUAUAUAACUAAAGGUUGUUAAAGUAAAAUAAAUUAAGAAUAAAAAAAGAGAGAGACAUAAGUUUAUAGAUUAUUUAAUUACUAUAAAAAAAUCAUAUUAACGACGGUCAAAAUUCCUACUUCAAAAAGAUAAAAAAGGUUGUUAGUCGCGUUCAAUAUUGACGGAAAAGCAACGAAGAAAAAUUAUUUUUUCGUCAAUAAUUAUUAAUAUUAUAAAAAUAUUAUUUAUUAUUAAAGCUAUCUUAUUAUGCUAUUAAUAAUAAUAAUAAUAUUAAUAAUAAUAAUAAUUUUAAUAUUAUUAACAAUAAUGUUAUAUUAGUAUUAUUAAUAUUAAUAUUAUUAUCAUUAAAAUUAUUAUUAUUAUUAUUAAUACUAAUAUUAUUUUAAUUAUUAUCAAUUUUAUUAAUAUUAACAUUAAUCUUAUUAGUUAGUUAAAUAACUAUAGAGUUGGAUAAAAAUUUCAGAGUAUUAUUUCAUUCAUUAGUUAAACUAUAAGUUUUAGCUUUUAUGAUUUCUCUGCUCACUAUUUUGGAUAUACAAUCUCUAGUUUAAAGUUUUCGGUUAAAUUUUCCAAUUAACGUUUCAAGUUAAAUUUUAUGGUUAAAGUUCUCAAUUUUUUGGUUUUCGUUUAAUUUUAGAUUUUUGAUUUAUUUUUAUGUCUCAGAUUUAAAGUUUUAAUAUUGUUAUUAAUUUUUAUACAUUAUUUCAAUCUAAAUAACACAACUAAAUUUUUUUAAAUUGUUUCAUUUUUUAUAAAUAAAACAAAUUUUCUUUCUAAAGAGAAAAUCAUUAAACUAAAAUUGUACGUAAUAAAUAUGAUUUCAAUACAAUUUGAUAUAAUUAAAGUUGUACAUGCUAAUUAAAAUCGUAUUUUGCAACUACGAUUUCUUCAUAAAUUAUUUUUAGAUGCAGUUUUCAUAGAACUUGUAUUUCUCACAUACGGAUUCUUUCAAAAUUUACAAAAUUGUAUUCGUUUUAACUUAGAGAAAUUUCUUUCAACUAGAGUCUUUAGUUUAGUCAUAUAAAUAGUGGUUUCCAACGGAGUUGUUAUUUUGUAUGUUUGAUCAGUCUUCUUCCCCUUUUAUAUCGAGUCAUCUCCUCUCCCUCUUUUGUAUAUAGUCCUUUUUCCAGCUCUAUUCCAUAAUAAAUUGAUGCCCGUAGAAAAUUCAUUUAUAUUGAUCUCUCAUAUAUGUUUCCAAAAUAUCGAUCUCUUGCAUACUUAUAAAAACAACUCAGAGUUGCGCUUAGACGUUAAUAGCAAUUAACAUUUCAAGUCUAUUUCUAACACUCAAAUAUGUUAAGUAUUGUUGUUUAAGUCAGAAGCCUAAAACUACCUCUCGGUCAGAUUUAAGAUUCUCAAACAUGUCACAACUAUUUAGAAUCAAAACAACAAUACCAAUAAUCAAUUAAGAACAUAAUAUUAUAUCAUAUUUAAAUAUCACCUCAAUACAUAAGAGCUCAAACAUAUUACUUCCAAUCCCAAAGGAUAGAAUUAGCCAUGCAUACUUCUGGCACCUUCCAUUCUCCCAAUUGGUUACAAUUCACUCAAUGGUGUUUUCCUCUCAAUCUGGCACACUAGGGUUUAUCUCUAGCUUCCUAUUUAACCUAAUUUGCUAGGGUUAGGUGACAUCCUGCGUCGCGUUGAUGUGCUUAAUGAUAAAAACAUAAAAUGACCCAAUUUUUCUGACGCAUUCUCGCUCAAUUGGUCUUUUUUAAUUAUUUAUGAGAAAUCGAUAUAAAUGAUUUUUAUACGGACAUCAAUAUCAAUCAAAUGACACAAUAUUAACAUGUUAAUCAAAAUACAAAAGAGCGAGAAAGAUGAAACUCAAUCCCUAUUUUUCAAAUUGAAGCAACAAAGUCUUUGACUUGUUCUCUUAUUAAUCAUUGCCAUCACAACAACUUUCAACACACUUUUAUUAUUUUGUUUUAUAUUUAGUGAAUAUUUUUUUUUUAUUCAACUGUUCCUUGUGGGUUCGAUAUUCGUCCUUAGGGACACAUUAUUAUUUCUGACAACGCGGUGCACUUGUCGUAAAAAGUCAUCAAUGGUUUUUCUCCACAUCAAGUUAAGACUUAUACGUGGCUUUCAAUAAAUUGGAUCGAACGAGGUCGACACCAAACGAAGUUAAGACUUUGAUGACUAUUUUACGGCAAAUGUACCAUGUCAGAAUUAUAAAUUGUCCCUAAGGACGAAUAUCAAACCCAUAAGGAACAGUUGAAUUCUCAAGUAUAAUAUUCACUAAAUAGAAAACAAUAUAUAAAAGUUUGUUGGAAGUUUGUUAUGUAUGAGAUUGCAAGAAUGUAAAUAAAGCAAAGUAAAGAGUUGUUUGAUUCAAUUGGAAAAAUUGGGAUUGAGGUUCAUCCUUCUCACUCUUUUGUAUUUUGAUAAGCAUAUAUUUGAUUAAUAUUGAUGUCCAUAUAAAAUUCAUUUAUAUCGAUUCCUCGCAUAUAAAAUUAUUAAGAUAGUCUCAUAAAUAUCAAUUCCUCGCAUAUUUAUAAAAACUCCUAAUUGUUACGAACAAAUGUUGAUAAAAAUUAACAUUUCAAAUCUAUUCUUAACAUUCAAAUAUGUUAAGCAUUAUCAUUUCAUUUAGGUUAGAUACUUAGACGUACUUUCCAGUCAAAUCUAAGAAUCACAAUCAUGAUAAUUCAAGUGUUAAGAAUAAAAUGAUAAUAUCAACCAUCAAUCAAGAACAAAAUAUUAUGUUUAAAUCUCCCCUCAAUACAUAAGAGUUUGAACAGAUUACUCACAAUCCUAAAGGGUAGAAUUAGCCACUCAUGUUGGUCAUUACAAGCAUGGAAAGCAAGAAAAUAAGAUCCAGGAUGUUUCUCCUUGACGACUACCUCCUUUAGGGUUUUCUAUCUCCUUCUAUUCUCCCAAUGAUGUCUUGGGUUAUGUCUCACACCUCAUAUUUAACCUAGUUGGGCUUGGACUAAGUGACUUCUCGCCUAGGCGGGUUAUAGCUUGCUUGGACAAGUUUGAGAAGAAAAAAAAACUUCUCUGGAGUGAACUCGCCUGAGUGAGUCUUGGGUGAGUUCCUUUGGAGUGAGCUUGCUUGAGCGAGUUUUAAUAUGGAAUAUUACUGAAAUAUGGCACUUAUCAGACUUGUGCGUGGUUUUUCUUCACAUCAAGUUAAGACUUGUACGUGACCUUCAAUAAAUUGGACCGAGUAAGGUCGGCACCAUACCAAGUUAAGACUUGUGCAUGGUUUUUCUUCACGUUAAGUUAAGACCUGUACAUGAUCUUUAAUAAAUUGGAUCAAGCGAGGUCGACACCAUACCAAGUUAAGACUUUUACAUGGUUUCUCUCCACAUCAAGUUAAGACCUAUACGUGGUCUUCAAUAAUUUGAACCGAGCGAGGUCGACACCAUACCAAGUUAUGACUUGUGCAUGGUUUUUCUACAUGUCAAGUUAAGACAUGUACGUGGUCUUCAAUAAAUUGGACCGAACGAGGUCGACACCAUACCAAUUUAAGACUUGUGCAUGUUUUUUCGUCACGUCAAGUUAAGACCUGUAAGUGAUUUUCAAUAAAUUGGACCGAGCAUGGUCGACACAUACCAAGUUAAGACUUGUGCAUGAUUGUUCUUCAUCUAUAAUAUGUAAUUGAUAACUUGAACACAAUAUGUUAAGAUGUAAACAAAUUCUCAUUCAUCAUUUAUUUUCGUUGAAACAACCAAAAAAAGUGUUACAACUUAUUAGUAAAUCUAAAUAACAAAGUUCCAAAUAAUUUCAUCUAUAAUAAAAACGAAGAUUAGCUGUUAAUCAAGAGCUUUGAAGAAUCCAAAUCCAAGGUGUUUGAUGAAAGGCUGGUGUUAUUGCUGUGUGUGGGUGGGAUCUGGGUAGAAUAAAGUGUGAUCCACUCUUUUGUUGAAUCUAAAACUGAUGUGAAUUAAAACCUUUUUUAAAUUAAAUGUUUUUCCAACUAAGUGAAAAACAACAUGGUGUUUUGUCGAAUCAACCGGUUGUUUUGCUCUUAGAGGUUUUGAAAAAGGUUGAAAGUUGUUUGACUUGGUUGACUUAAUUGUCAAACCAAAUCAAUCGGUUGUUUCGUGGUUUCAACUGAUUGUUUCUUUGAAAAUCCUAACAGAAUUCAGUUUUGAAUGGUGAAUCUGUCUUAAAUGAUUUCUAACUGAAUACGCUCCUUCAUUAAAUGUUUUAACCAAUCUUUGGAAAAUAUAAAUAGUUUGUUAUAUGUUUCUGAAGUGUAAGAAACAAUUUUGAGAAAUUCAGUUUGACAUAUUUGAUCUCACGUUUUCAACAUUCACAUCAAGCUUUGGAUUUUCAAGUGAGAGUGGAAUAGGAUUGCAAUUGUAUUCUUUUCAGUUGUACUUUAAUCAGGUGUAAUCCUUUUCUCAAUCUUCUGUAUUUCUGUUGUUGUAUUUCCAUGGAGUGUUGUGUGUUCUUUAGGUGUUCAAGAAUACUCUUGGUGUGGUUUGCCAAGGUAGUGUAUUUCUUAGGGGUUCAAGGUCACUACUUUGGUGUGUGGUGUUUGUAAUCUGAUUUGAUUUCUUAGUGGAUUACCCAGUUGUUUUUGGGAACUGGAUGUAGCUCUUGUUGUAAGAGUGAACCAGUAUAAACUGCUUGUGUGCAUUUCUCUUUCUUUGAACUCCUUUAAAUUUUGUUUUUAAGUUGUUUAAGUUUUAACUGGUAUAAACAACCGAUUGAUUCGAAGAAACAAUCGAUUGUUUUUUCUGUGUUUUACUUUAAAACAGUUUGUGUUCUUGGCUAACUUGAUUCCUCUUCUGGAUUUCUUCACAGAGUUUCAUUAAACCUUCAAAAGUUUUCGAAAAUAUCUUAUAAACAAUUCAGCCCCCCUCUUGUUUAAGGCCAUAUAUUCUAACAAUUGGCAUCAAGAGCUAAGUUCUUGUAGUUACUCAAGUUUUCGAUCCUAAAUCUUUUUUCUAUGGCUGAAAAACUACCUUUUGGGGAGGGUGCCUCAAUUAACAGGCCACCUUUGUUUUGUGGUUUGAACUAUCAGUUUUGGAAGGUUAGAAUGAAAAUCUUUGUUGAAUCUCUUGAUAAAGGGAUUUGGGAAGCAAUUGAAAAUGACCCUUAUAUUCCAAAAUUUGAAAAGGAAGGUGCUUCUAUUGAUUAACCUUGGUCCCAAUGGACUGAUGCUGAAAAUAAAAGGGCCAAGUUUGAUUGCAUUGAAAAUAAUAUCAUAACCUCUGCUUUGAACUCUGGUGAAUUUUUUAGGAUCUCACAAUAUACAUCGGUUAAGGAAAUGUGGGAUACUCUAGAGGUCACCCAUGAAGAGACAAAUGAUGUGAAAAGGGAAAAGAAACAUACUCUAAUACAAGAGUAUGAGAUGUUCAUAAUGUUCAAAGGAGAAUCAAUUGUUGAAGUGCAAAAGAGAUUAACCCACAUAGUCAAUCAUCUAAUGAGUCUUGGAAAAAUCUUUGACAAGGAGGAGUUGAACAUCAAGAUUCUAAAGUGUCUUGAUAGAUCUUGGCAACCAAAAUUUAUUGCCAUCUCUGAGUCUAAGGAUUUGACAUCCUUAACCACAACCUCCUUGUUUGGAAAGCUUAGAGAACAUGAGUUGGAGAUGAAUAGACUCAAUGUUCAAGAAAGUGAAGACAAGCAUGUAAGGAACAUAGCCUUGAAAGCUGCCAAGAGACAAAAAUAAGCAAGACUCAAGUGAUGAAAGUGAGGGAGAAACUCUUAGUUUGCUGUCCAAAAAGUUCAGCAAAUUCUUGAAGAGAAACCGCAACAAAGAAUCCAACAAAGAAAAGUAUGGAAACAAGAAAACUAGUGAUUUUAAUCCUAACAAUUAUACUUGUUUUGGUUGUGGAGAACAAGGGAAUAUGAAAGAUGAAUGCCCAAAUAAAGAAGGCAAGGAAAAGAAGUCAAGCAAGAAAGGGAAAUCAAAAAAGGCCUACAUUGCUUGGGAUGAAAAUGAAGUCUCCUCAUCAAGCUCCUCAUUAAGGUUACGUUUGGAUCCAGGGGUGGUACUGUUGUCGACGACGGAAGUCACAACACCACCCCAUUUGGUUCCAUGGUUCGUUGCGGGUGAGAGUGCAGCUGAAGAGAAAGUUGAGGGAAUGUUGUUUCUUCUGAAAGCUGAAGAGAAAGUUUCACUGUGCAGUGGAAGUGCCAAAUCAUCACCACGCAUUUCCAAUCUUGUCCUUACUUUUUUGCUGGAUUCAAGAAGCACAGUGCCUCUGCAUGCAUGCCAAGUGAAAAGCAAGAGAUUCCUGACUUGGUUCAGGAAUCUAUUGACCAUGUGAAAGUUUGAAACCUCAUCAAUGAAGUGGGUGAGAGGUAGGUGUGUGAGAUUCGUGGUUUCUUUAUAAACGUUGCUUCCUCCAUUCACAAUUCACAGAUAAGCAAGUGGACUGAGCAAAGAGAGCGAAGCAUAGAGUGUGUAGUUGGAGAGAUUCAUAAGUCACAGUGUGUGUUAGGGGCUUCAUUAACGCAGAGGUUAUUCAUCUGAAAGUGGUGUGUUCAUCUCUGGGUUCAUCUGAGGUGAGUUUAUAUGUUUCAUUCAACAGUUAAUCGAUUAUGGCUCAAAUAUCACAGGCAAAAUAAUCGAUUAUGGUGUAAUCUGCAAAAUUUUCCAGGCAUAAUCGAUUAUGUAUAGUGUGUAAAAUGGCUCAUAAUCGAUUAUGUGUUUGGGAUAAUCGAUUAUGCUUGUUUUUAGCCUAGCAGCAUAAUCGAUUAUGCUUUGAUAAUCGAUUAUCUGAUGUGUGUGAAAGGGGUCCUAAUCGAUUAUGGGAUGUGAUAAUCGAUUAUGCUUGUUUUUUGCCUACUAACAUAAUCGAUUAUGCUUUGAUAAUCGAUUAUUCUCUCUGUGUAAGUGAUGCCAUAAUCGAUUAUGUUCUUGAAUUUUUGAAAUAAAAAUGUUUGUUAAUUUAUUUGUUUUCUGUUAUUUUCAGGUGUGUUGAUCUUCCUAUAAGGCAUCCUAUUGCUGUUGUUGCUGUUGUUGAGUGCUUAUCUUCNNNNNNNNNNNNNNNNNNNNNNNNNNNNNNNNNNNNNNNNNNNNNNNNNNNNNNNNNNNNNNNNNNNNNNNNNNNNNNNNNNNNNNNNNNNNNNNNNNNNNNNNNNNNNNNNNNNNNNNNNNNNNNNNNNNNNNNNNNNNNNNNNNNNNNNNNNNNNNNNNNNNNNNNNNNNNNNNNNNNNNNNNNNNNNNNNNNNNNNNNNNNNNNNNNNNNNNNNNNNNNNNNNNNNNNNNNNNNNNNNNNNNNNNNNNNNNNNNNNNNNNNNNNNNNNNNNNNNNNNNNNNNNNNNNNNNNNNNNNNNNNNNNNNNNNNNNNNNNNNNNNNNNNNNNNNNNNNNNNNNNNNNNNNNNNNNNNNNNNNNNNNNNNNNNNNNNNNNNNNNNNNNNNNNNNNNNNNNNNNNNNNNNNNNNNNNNNNNNNNNNNNNNNNNNNNNNNNNNNNNNNNNNNNNNNNNNNNNNNNNNNNNNNNNNNNNNNNNNNNNNNNNNNNNNNNNNNNNNNNNNNNNNNNNNNNNNNNNNNNNNNNNNNNNNNNNNNNNNNNNNNNNNNNNNNNNNNNNNNNNNNNNNNNNNNNNNNNNNNNNNNNNNNNNNNNNNNNNNNNNNNNNNNNNNNNNNNNNNNNNNNNNNNNNNNNNNNNNNNNNNNNNNNNNNNNNNNNNNNNNNNNNNNNNNNNNNNNNNNNNNNNNNNNNNNNNNNNNNNNNNNNNNNNNNNNNNNNNNNNNNNNNNNNNNNNNNNNNNNNNNNNNNNNNNNNNNNNNNNNNNNNNNNNNNNNNNNNNNNNNNNNNNNNNNNNNNNNNNNNNNNNNNNNNNNNNNNNNNNNNNNNNNNNNNNNNNNNNNNNNNNNNNNNNNNNNNNNNNNNNNNNNNNNNNNNNNNNNNNNNNNNNNNNNNNNNNNNNNNNNNNNNNNNNNNNNNNNNNNNNNNNNNNNNNNNNNNNNNNNNNNNNNNNNNNNNNNNNNNNNNNNNNNNNNNNNNNNNNNNNNNNNNNNNNNNNNNNNNNNNNNNNNNNNNNNNNNNNNNNNNNNNNNNNNNNNNNNNNNNNNNNNNNNNNNNNNNNNNNNNNNNNNNNNNNNNNNNNNNNNNNNNNNNNNNNNNNNNNNNNNNNNNNNNNNNNNNNNNNNNNNNNNNNNNNNNNNNNNNNNNNNNNNNNNNNNNNNNNNNNNNNNNNNNNNNNNNNNNNNNNNNNNNNNNNNNNNNNNNNNNNNNNNNNNNNNNNNNNNNNNNNNNNNNNNNNNNNNNNNNNNNNNNNNNNNNNNNNNNNNNNNNNNNNNNNNNNNNNNNNNNNNNNNNNNNNNNNNNNNNNNNNNNNNNNNNNNNNNNNNNNNNNNNNNNNNNNNNNNNNNNNNNNNNNNNNNNNNNNNNNNNNNNNNNNNNNNNNNNNNNNNNNNNNNNNNNNNNNNNNNNNNNNNNNNNNNNNNNNNNNNNNNNNNNNNNNNNNNNNNNNNNNNNNNNNNNNNNNNNNNNNNNNNNNNNNNNNNNNNNNNNNNNNNNNNNNNNNNNNNNNNNNNNNNNNNNNNNNNNNNNNNNNNNNNNNNNNNNNNNNNNNNNNNNNNNNNNNNNNNNNNNNNNNNNNNNNNNNNNNNNNNNNNNNNNNNNNNNNNNNNNNNNNNNNUGAUCCUAUUUGUCAUUGUGGACAAUUUGCUGUUUUGAGAAUAGCGACAACACAAAAAAAUGCUGGAAAAAAAUUUUGGGGUUGUCCCAACUACAAGGUAAAAUUUAUUCAAUUAGGUUUCAAACAAACUUAAGAAUGUUAUUUUAAACUUAUUCAUUGUUCAAUUUUAUUGUUUUCUUCAAAACAGAUUAGAAGUGGCAUGGUUCUAGGCUGUAAUUUUUUCAAAUGGUGCAUUGAAGACGUUGCCGAUGAAAAAGAUGAAAUUAUUAUCAUACAACAGAAUAAGAUAUGUCUUCUAGAAAACCGUUUGAAGGUCUCCACAAGAAGGAUUCAAAUGUUAUUACUGAGAAUGUCUUUUCUUUUUCUAAUUAACAUUAUUAUGUUCUUCAUGUAAUGACUUUAUAUUAUAUAUUUUGACACCUACUUAAUUUUCAUGUUAUAUUCGAAAUUUCUAUUUUUUUUUAAAUAUAUUUUAUAUAUAUUUGUAUAUAUAUAACAUAACAUAAUUUAUAAAAUCAUUUAUAAUAUUAAAAUUAUGUAAAUAAAUUAAUUUAAAUUAAAAAUAAUUCUUAAUUAAUAAAAUGUUAAAUAAUAUAAUUAUACUUUAAUUUUAAAUUAUAAUUAACUAAAAUAUGAAAUAGGAUUAAUCAUUAUUUAUUCUUUUUUAUAUACAAGGGUAAAAUUGUAAUCUCACAAACUUUACUCUUCAAAAUAAUUUAUAAUAUUCUUACAACUAUCACAUCACUCACAAUUUCCAAUAAACUUUCCUCACACAUCCACUCUAACAUACCCCAAUCCAAACAACCUCAACUUUCUUCACACUUUCUUCACACUUCCACUCCCACUCACCCUCAACUUUCCACUCCCACUCACCCUCAACUUUCCACUCCCCCACACCCUCUAAUCCAAACACACCCUAAGUGAAGAUGAAAAAGCCAAUUUGUGUUUGAUGGCAAGGGGAGAAGAUUAUUCAAGUAGUGUAAGUUCUUGUGCCUCUUUAAAUGCUGAAAACUAUAGUCAAUUGCUUCAAGCUUUUAAAGAAACUUAUGAGGAAGCUAACCGAUUGGCUCUCUUGAAACCGGUUGAAAGGGUUGAACAACUGGCUUGAAAAUAGAGUCAAGACACUUGAAGAAGAAUUGGAAAAUUCAAAAACUGAUUUUGAAAAUAUUGAAUUGCAUUGCAAGAAUUCUUCUUGCUUGAGUCACUCAAAAGCUUGUGAAAAUUGUAAAACUCUUGAUAGUAAAGUCCACUAUCUAAGAACUAUGGAUAAACUUUCAAAGGGUAAAUCUAACUUUGAAAAUCUCUUAGCAUCCCAAAAAUGUGUUUUUGGAAAAUCUGGUUUGGGAUUUAAUCCUCAAAGCAAGAAAAAUAGGAUUACAAAGCCUUUUUCAAAAGUGUCAGAAAAACAACCGAUUGAAAAAUCGAAACAACCGGUUGUUACAUGUUUUUAUUGCUUGAAGAGAGGCCACUCUGUUAGAUUCAGUAAAAUUAGGAAAUAUUUUGUUCCUAAAGAUAUUAUGAGAUGAAUUCCCAAAGAUUCUGAAGUUCCCAAUGAUAAAAGUAAAUCAAAAGGACCCACUUUUGUAAGGGGACCGAAUCUUGUUGCUUGAAUUUAUUGUGUUGUAGGAAUACUAAGAGAAGCAUGGACUCUUGAGUCAUCAGAUCAAGCUUUUGGAAGGAAAAGAUUAUGUCUGGAAUUGAACUAAGGAUUCUGUACCAGCUUAAGUCUUCUUAAAAGCCAAAAGAAGUUCUCUUGAUCAUGCAUUAUGACUCAAUGAAGGGGCGUUAUGACAAAAGGAUAAGGCUUUCUUUGUUUCUGUUAUUUUUCUUUUCUUAAUUUGUGUUAAAUCUUCAUCUAAUUGUGAUAUAUGUGGAGCAAUUACACUUUGAUUCUUCUCUGCUUUUAAAAAUUCUAAUUAUUUGUUGCUUUAGAAAAACAACCGAUUAUUUUUUCGAAACAACCGAUUGUUUCUCCUCUGACAGCACUGCAUAAAACUGAUUUAAUUUCUUUAUGCAUUCUAUCUUUUACAGAUUUCAAUCUUAAAGGAAUUAUGAGUCAAUAAAGCAGUCAUAUGGAUCUGAUUUGGUUCAGGAGGAGGUUACUUCUUGUCAUAAAAGGAAUAUAUUCCAUAUCUUCGAAAUUCAAGUGCCUUUAUGACUAGUCAAAUCCACAUGUGUUGACCAUGUGUUUUUCUGGUAUGGGCUGACAUGUUUUCUAUGCAAGCUUAGACCAGAUUCCUCUUCUUGAAGACUAAAACCCACUGCAACCAAAGGAUCAAAGAGGGUUUUUUUGUUGCUAUAAAACCCUCUGCAGCUGUUUUUCUACACAAAAACAAUCAAUUGGCACAUCUCUAGCUACAUCUCAAUUUUUUCUCUAUUUUUUUUUUCCAUUCUGUUAUCAUGGAUUCCACUCCUCCAUCAUAAAAAAGGAUCAAAAUCAGGGCUGUAAGAACAGGACGGUCUUGAAGGCUGGUUUUCAGGGGACAAUGAGUUGAUUGAAAAAUAUCGCUUUGAAACAAGUCGAAAAGUGAUAAACAACCCAAAAGUUGUCUCUUUCAGCUAGCUGAAAAGUCAAAAACUGGAUGAUGUGCGAAAUCUUCUCAAGGAACAACUGCUAAAGAAGUUAUUGGAGAUGAAAGGGAACAUUUAUCCUAAUCUUAUUCGAGUUUUCUACACCAACUUGAAGUUUGUUGACAACAACCUUGUUUCUCAUGUCAAAGGUGUGGAUAUGGAGAUUAGUCAUGAGGUAUGGACUGCAGUAACUGGUUUGAAGUAUGCUGGGCUGAGAAUCAACAAAGUGAAUAUUGGUGUGGUGGAAGAUUUCAACAAGAUUAAGUAUUAUAGAAGUUGUUUGAAGAAUCCUCAAGCACAAGUAAGAACUUGUUCUAUUGGAGGGUUCAAGUUGAAUGAAAGGUUGUUGGCUCUCAUUGUAACUUGGAUUCUAACACCAAGAGGGAGCAAUCAUUUUGUUCUCACUGAGGAAGAUCUUGUCUACAUAUACUGCAUUAUGAGCAAAGUCAAGAUCAAUUGGAUCCAUAUCAUCAAGGAACACAUGCAAAUAUCUAUGAGGUUAAGUGACUAUCAUUAUCCUUAUGCUAUCUUGAUUUCUAAAUUCAUAAACUAUUUUAAAGUAGAUCUUGAGGAAGAAACAUCCGAAUUGAGGAAAUCAACAUAUGAAGUGAACAAUGGUUCACUAAGCAAGAUGGGUUUUACCAAGAUUGGUGGAAGAUGGGUAAGCAAGGAUGGUGAACAUGGUGGUUCCUCAAGUGGUGCACAUGCUAAACAUGAUGAAGAAGAUCAAGAAGCUGCUGAAGGUGUUGAUGUUGAUGCUCAAGAUGAAGAUCAACCUGCUACUGAGAUAGGUGUUGGAACAAGUGCUGGAAAUCAAGGAAAUAAAAUUCUCUCAAUGUCUCCUUUUGAGAGAUUCAUGGUAAAUAGGUUGGACAACUUUGUUGAAAAUCAAAGAAAUCUUCAUGAUCUUUGUGCUACAAACUUUCAGAACUUUGACAAAAGAUUUCAAAGCAUGGAUACUCAUUUUCAGAACCUUGAUGAACAAAUUGAAGUUGUUCAAAACCAACUUUAUGAGCUGCAAUAUGGGAAAGAUGAUUGAAGCCAAGUUUCGUUAAAUUUCUAUGUGAGUAUUGCUUUAUUUUGAACUAUUAUGUUUUUAUCUCUUCCUAAUUCUAUUUGUGGAGACAAAUAGGGAGAGAAAAUGGUUUAUGAGUUGUCUUAAAACUACUAUAAAGUAUGCUUUAAUUUCGGCUGCAUAUGUUGUUUGAUUUUGGUGCUGUAGUUUUGAUGUUUUUGGCAUAGUUUGUGGCUGGUUUUUCUACUCUUGUGGUUAUGUAGAAAAACUAGUUGAUGUAUCAUCAUAACCUGCUAUUAGAGAUGCUCUAGAUUGCAUAGUUUAUGUUUUGCACGUGCUGUUUCAGAUUCAAACAAGAUCAACACAAGCAACCAGGGAUUUGUCUUAAUCAAAUAGGGGGAGAUUGUUGAUCAAGAGUGGUCAAGAGCUUUGAAGAAUCCAAAUCCAAAGUGUUUGAUGAAAGGCUGGUGUUGUUGCUGUGUGAGUGGGAUCUGGGUAGAAUAAAGUGUGAUCCACUCUUUUGUUGAAUCUAAAACUGAUGUGAAUUAAAACCUUUUUCUAAAUUAAAUGAUUUUCCAACUAAGUGAAAAACAACCUGUUGUUUUGUCGAAUCAACUGGUUGUUUUGCUCUUAGAGGUUUUGAAAAAUGUUGAAAGUUUUUGACUUGGUUGACUUAACUGUCAAACCAAAUCAAUCGAUUGUUUCGUGGUUUCAACUGAUUGUUUCUUUGAAAAUCCUAACAGAAUUCAGUUUUGAAUGGUGAAUCUAUCUUAAAUGAUUUCUAACUGAAUAUGCUCCUUCAUUAAAUGUUUUAACCAAUCUUUGGAAAAUAUAAAUAGUUUGUUAUAUGUUUCUGAAGUGUAAGAAACAGUUUUGAGAAAUUCAAUUUGACAUAUUUGAUUUCAAGUUUUCAAGAUUCACAUCAAGCUUUGGAUUUUCAAGUGAGAGUGGAAUAUGAUUGCAAUUGUAUUCUUUUCAGUUGUACUUUGAUCAGGUGUAAUCCUUUUCUCAAUCUUCUAUAUUUCUUUUGUUGUAUUGCCAAGGAGUGUUGUGUGUUCUUGAGGUGUUCAAGAUCAAUACUCUUGGUGUGGUUUGCCAAAGGCAGUGUAUUUCUUGAGGGGUUCAAGUUUGGUGUGUGGUGUUUGUAAUCUGGUUUGAUUGCUCAGUGGAUUACCCAGUGGUUUCUGGGAACUGGAUGUAGCUCUUAUUGUAAGAGUGAACCAGUAUAAACUGUUUCUGUGCAUUUCUCUUUCUCUGAACUCCUUUAUAUUUUGUUUUUAAGCAGUUUAAGUUUUAACAGGUAUAAACAACUGAUUGAUUCGAAGAAACAACCGAUUGUUUUUUCUGUGUUUUACUUUAAAACAGUUUGUGUUCUUGGAUAACUUGAUUCCUCUUAUGGAUUUCUUCACAGAGUUUCUUAAACCUUUAAAAGUGUUUGAAGAACUCUAAUUAUCACCUUGCAGCCAGCUUGCUAUCCAUGUGAAUUUCUCCUGCUUUCCUUAACACCAAAUCUCCUUUUCAGAACUCUCUUGGGCUUACUUUGCUUAAAAAUUUUGCUUCAAUUCUUCUCUUGAGAGCGACUUCCUUCACCUUUUCUUUAUCCCUCAACUCAUCUAUUGUAUCCAAAUGGAAAAGUCUUCCCUUCUGUUCCUCAAAAUCUCCUACCUUUCUAGAUGGAAUUUCUAACCCAAUGGAUAAUACUACAUCACUUCUGUACACCAACCUGAAAGGAGUUUCCCUUGUUGUUGAUUGAAAUAAAGUGUGGUAUGACCAAACUAUCUCUGAUAAAAACUCCACGCACCUUGUCUUGGCUUUCCCCACUUUCUUCUUUAACCCUGCAAAAUCACCUUAUUUGCAGCCUCCACUUGUCUAUUUGUUAGGGGAUGCUCCACCAUUGAAAAAACAUAAUGAAUUCACAUCUCCUUGCAGAUGUCCCGCACCUUUUUACUUACAAAUUGUGUCCCAUUAUCUGACAUCACCUCCCUUAGUACUCCAAACCUGCAUAUUAUAGAUUUUCAAAUAAAUUUCUAUAUUUUUCCAGCUGUUAUUGUAGUUAAAGGUUCUACUUCCACCCACUUUGUAAAUUCGAGAAUGUUUGGAAAUCCGACUGGACCCCCUAUUCGUCUUGGUGACCUAGGAAUUGAUGAUUGAUUUGUUUUUGGAACUCUUCAUUCUUCCUUUGGAAUUGGUCCUGAACCCUAAAAGAUUCCUCCAACAUCUCCCUCGUUUGGACAUUCUCCCUUCUCAAAUCUUAUUGGGCUCUCCUAAACUCCUCAACUCGUUCCUUAUUUUGCUUUCUCAUCGCCUCCAUCAUUUUCAUUAAGGUCUCUGUUGCAUCUGGUGCUUCAUUGCCUUCCUCCUAUUACAGUAUGCCGUGUUGCUCUUAUUAUCAUCUAGAAAAUUUUUACGACAUAAGAUUAUUUUACAUAUCUCAUAAUGGACACAAUGUUCUAGCCAAGAGGUAUAUCUCUCAAGCAUCUAGUUUAACCAGAAAAAUUGACUUUUAGCUAAAUUGUUCUAUCUAUAGUCUCCUUCUCUUAUUAUAUUAAGUCCUCUCUUUUUCCUCUUUUAUAUCUAGUUCUGUCCCGUAUAUCCAACCAAUUGUUGUAAUAAACACUCUCCCAAUUAAAUGGAAUUUUCUUCCUUAAUUUCAGAUAUCGGCUAUAAAGCUUAAAUAGGUUCGGCCAUUACCUUAAUUUCAGAGAUCGUUUUGCCACAUAAAUGGGAGCUCACAAUACUUAAUUGAUAAUUUCUUUAAAAUCUAAUCGUACUCCAUGGUUUAUCCAAUUUUAGAAUAAAAAACUAGUCUGUCUGCGGAAAUUCGGAUUAAAAUUAUUAUACUUUGAGAAAGAAACCGACUGUGUAUGUAUUAUAAAUAAAACUGCCACAUAACUGUUAAAACAUGACUUCUUAUAUCAUUUUAGGAAACCAAUUUAAAGUCUACAACUGAACAUGAAGUUUCAAACCAUUACACUUUUAUUUAAUUUUAGAAAACAUUUGUUGCCUAAAGAUCUUUGGGUUUAUAUUGCAACAUUACUCAUAAUUUGGUAAAAGUACAUUUAUUCUUCAGAAGCACGUCCAGAUAUGGAUGAUACUAAAUGCAUGGUCCAUGAAGCCCAUUCUGGAACUAGACUGGAGGUGGGUAGAGUUGGAUAACCUUCUUCCACGAUGGUCUACUGCUUAUGUCAUCCCACCAACCACUCACAUGCUUCCUCUCUUUUAUCAGAUACCCUUUAUUCAUUUGGUUCACUAUAAAAUAUGUAAAUGGAAGAUGACUUAUAUCAGCAAGACUGAAGAAAUCCCCACCCAAAUACUUGCUCUUUGACAGCCUCUCCUCAUAAACAUCCAACACCUUCAACAGCUUUGCUUCACUCUCUUCAAUCACCUUUGGAUCUGGAGUCAUGCCAAAUAAUGGAGCAAACAACAGAUGCACAGCCAAGUCAUAAGCUGGUGGGUGAAAGUUAUGUGCUUCAACUUCUAGCCAUUGUUCCACAACACCCCUCUCUUCCGGUGUCCUCCCCAACAGCUCAACCCCCUGAGAUCUGUAUUUGUCUGCAUAAUACCUCAUUAUAGCACGAGAUUCUGCAGAAACAGAUCAAACACAGACAAGUUACAAGGUGGUAUAGCAGUAAGAUAAGAAAAAAUAACUGAAGAAACAAAAUAUGAACAAAAAAGCAAAAGUAUAUAGGAGUUGAAAGUGUAACCAUAUAAGGUGUAGUCUCCAUCUUGGAUGACAGGAACAACUCCAAAGGGCUGCAGAUAUGAUGAAUAAAGAAAAUGAAUGAGAAGAUAAAGAAAGACGUAAUCUUGAAGAGUGAUGAGGGUGGGCAAAAAAAGAAAAUUGAACCUGUAACUUGAGAAACUCGGGAUCCUUGUGCUCUCCCUUAGUGAGAUCGACUGGGACAACCUCAAAUUCGACGUCCUUCUCAAGGAGACAUACUAGCACCCGUUUAGUGGAAGCACAGUGAGGACCGUACACCUUCACUACCAUGUUUUGAUUCUCUUCAGAAACCCUUCAACAAGACUGAAGCAGUGAUAGAGCCAAACACAAUUUCUACUUCCUGGUAACACUUCUUAUAGUGCCCCUACGCGUGAAAUCAAGCGCAUGUUUUCACACUGUAGUUGUAAAUGGAUUUGGAAUGGGUAGGAUAGAAUCAAACUCUUUUACUUAAUAUAAUAAAAGAUUUGUGUGGAAUUAGAUAGAAGUUUCGAGUGGUUGGUCCUUUGGGAAAAGAGGAAAAAGAAGAUGUGAAUAUAAAUAUUACAACUACCAAACAUGAUGGGCAAUGAUUUAGAAAGUAAAGAUGAGGGGGUGGAUAUUAUUGUGGUCGACAAAUAAUCAAUGUGCUACCUUUAAUUGUACAGAAUUCGGAUUACUGUGUAUAAAAGUAUAACAUUUAUAUUGAUGUCUAUUAAAGUUAAAUUUAUAGUAUUAUUUUUUUAUUGAAAGUUAAGAAAGAGAUAAAUAUUUUAGAACGUGUUUCCCACCAAAAAAAUAAAUAAAUAUGAAGUAGAAAUUAAAGAUGUUUAAUUAAAAGUUGAGGUAUUAUUUAUAAAUAAACAAUGAAAUAAAAAAUUAAAUAGUUUAAUAAUUAUUGACAUAUUUUAUUUUUAUUGCAAUACAAACAUUUUAAUUAUGUUAAUUUCAUUUGAGUUCUAUUAAUAUUUAACACAAUUAAACAAGUAUUUCGUCUUUAAUAAGUUGUCACGUGUGUUUGUGUUUAUUGGAGAAGAAAAAUAAUAACUUUAACCUGUAAUUAACUUUAACCUAUAUUUUCUAUUUUAUACAUUAAAAAUUCUUUGUGAUUCUUUUAAAAUUUUUGAAUAAACAUACGUGAUAGUUACAAAUACAAAAGUAUUUAAUUGUAUUAAAUAAUAGAAUCCAACAAAAUGUAAGUUUUUUUUAUUAAAAUAAAAAACUUAUUGUAUUGAAAUAACUAUUUAUCCAAAUAAAAAUAAUAUUGUCUUUUGAAAUAAGUGACUCCCAACCAAAAAAUCCAACUUGUUUUAUUUAUUAAGAAUUAUUGUUUUCUCAUGAUUCAAGUAAAGCAUUAGUUAAAAUUUAGAAAAUAUUUCUUAAAAUGGUCUAGCAAUAAAAUUGAAUAAAAAAAAAGUGUCAUUUUCGCUUCUUAAGAACAUAAGAUGGCAAAUAAUUGGAAGUUCUAACAAUUAUAUCCCAUAUUUCAUAAUUCAAGUAAAGCCUUAGUAAAAAUUUGGAAAAUAUUAAAAAUGUCUAAGAUUGAAAAUAAAAUAAAUAAAUAAAAAAGUGCUCUUUUCGCUUCCUUGGAAAGUUGUAAGAAUUAUAUCCUCAUAUUUUUUCCUUUUUUCUUCUAAGGACCAACUCAUCAACACCUACUUAUUAUUAUUAUUGUUAUCUAGUCAAAAUAACCAUCAAUUAUGAUAAAAGUACUCAUAACACUAAGACCUACUAAACCUCGCGACUGGUCGAAUUGAUAUUUUCAAUUAAUUAACCUAUUUUUAAAUUAAAUAUUUAAAUAAAAAUAUUUUAAUAGAUUAAUUUUCUAUAUUAUAUUAUUCGAAAGAUGUAGAUAUGAAAUAGUAUUGUAACUUAAAUCAAUAAUAAUUGCAAAUUAAGUUUCAGUUAAUUAUAAAAAUAAUUUAAUACAUAAAUGCAAUGGUUAAACUAUAAGAAAAGUUGUUUUUGGAAACUAAAUUUUUGAGUUUCUAAAAUGAUAAAAUUAGUCAAUAACUUAAUUAGAAACUAAUUUAAAAUCUAAUUGUAGUAAGUGGCUAAAAUCAUCUUCGUUAAUUUUAUAUACCAAUUUAGAUUCUAAUUUAGAAACCAAUUUAGUUAUCAAUAAAAACCAACUUAGUGACCAAAUAUAUAGAAACUAAUUUAGUAAUCAAUUAUAUAGAAAUCAAAUUAACAACCAAUUUUAUUGAAACCAAUUUAGUGACCAAAAUAUAUAGAAACUCAUUUAGUGACCAAAUAUAUAAAUAUAAAAAAAUGGUCACUAUAAUGGUCUCCAAAUAAUAUAAUUUUUUGUAAAAAAAAAAAAUUUAUCAAAUGGAAAAAUCAAUUCAUUUGAAAUAUUUUAAGAUAUUCUCUUGUGUCUAAAACUAGUUUCAAUAUAAGUAUGCACAUGAAGGAAAUUAAAUCAUUAGAAGGAACAAUCCAAUUUAGCUUAAUCUUUCUUUGUCGAGCCUUAUUUAAAUUAUUUUUCAUUAUUAUAGCAUCUCGCAUUUCAAAAUUAUUUCUUGCCCACUUAUGAUCUGGUGCACAAAUCGAAAACUUCUUCUGCAUUAAUAAAAAAACAAAGUUAAUUAUAUGUAAAACUAACAUACAUAAUAAAAUUGAACUAAAUAAUUAAAUAAAGUUAGUUAUAUGAAAUCAACCAAAAACUCUCCGAACUACAAGUCUCUUGUUCUAAACACCAAAUAAGAUGCAUCUUUUAAAAAAGCAAACAAAAACCAAAUAGUUUUUUAUGACUAGUCGCUCGGAAGAGAAAAAUUAAUCAAGAAAUAUUGACCUUAUAAUUAUGGAUUGAUUCACUUCAUCUGCAAACAAAGCAAUAGACAGAUUAAAAAGUUAUAGUACAAAACGAAUGGAAACAGCUUAACCUUUUAAAACUUAAUUUCUAUAAAAAAUAAGGAAAAAGUUGUCUCGUAUCAUUUCUCGAAUGGCUGUCAGUAAUUGCAUAUAAAUGAGGGCUUUCACUUGCCUUACACUUGUAGGCUUCAAUAUAGUCAUUUUAUCAUACUAGAGAGUUUACUAUCAUUCGUGGGACUCCAUUAAACUUGACUUUCGACUCGUAAACUCGUAAGAGUCUACUUCAUAAAAAAAAUUUAACAAAAAAAUAAUUCAUGAAAACAAAUCCAUAAUAUUGAAAUAAACAAGUUCAUACACUAAUAAAAUAACUAAAACAACACAAAUGUUAUAAUUUAAAAGUCUCAUUCUUCUAAUUCUUCAAGAAAAUCAUCUAACUCUAAAACAAACAAUCAAUUAGUCAUUCUGCUUUAAAAUUAAACAAAAAUCCAAUAUGUCCAAAGCAGUAAAAGAACUUCAGGAUGUCCAAAAAUCUGCCCCAACCCAAUGAACAAAAACGCCCCAACCCAUUUUUAAAAGUUCAAACCUAAUUUUGAAAACCCUAACCCAAUCCGUCCUCACCGCAGCAGCAGGACUUACCCAUCAAAGUGUUUCGCGAACGGCGUAGUGUGACGAGGAUCAUUGUGAAACGAGGUGUGACAACCAGCGGCGCGAUGCGACGAGCGGUGCGGUACGAGGAGCAGUGUGGGGUUGUGCGAGGCGAGGAGCGACGCGGUACGAGGCAAGGAGCGGCGCGGUACGAGGCGAGGAGCGGUGCGGUGUGAUGAGCGGUAAAACCCUAAAAAAUCUAACCUAAUCACAAGGAAACACAUCGUUUUGAGUCCAUUUUACGCAACUCGAUAACUCGACCUUAAACUCACGAGUUUAGCCGAGUUUGACCGAGUCAACUUCGGAUUCGGGUUUACUCAAAAACGAGUUUACUCCCGAGUUGACUCGCCAACCUUCACCUGACUCUUAAACUCAAACUCGUAAGGGUUUACGAGUUAACCUUAGAGUUUGAUAAUUUGAUUAUUACCAUACAAAGUAACUUUCUUAAAAGGGAUUUAUGGCAACCAAAACAGGCCCAGCUUUCAUCUGAAUUAAAUAGUUAUGCACUUAAAGAGGUUAUGAUUAGGAAAAUAAAUCAAGAUAGAAAAUUAAGAGAUAUAAGCUUACAUAGAUCAUAUCUUGGUUGUAUCUAUAUUGCAGGUUGAAUAAAACUGCUGAUUCAUUUAAAUAACUAAAUAGAAGGUACCAUGAUAAACUGAUUUCAAAACACAGCAGCAGAGAAAAAUUGAAAUCCAAGGCCAAAAUUAUCUUUUUUGAACCAUAAGAAUUUGUAUCAUUCCACCUGUUUUCCCUAGAGGAUGUCAAAAUUGAUGGCAGGGGCAACGUAACGGAUACCAAGUCUUCAUCUGCAUUAGAUGGUCGGUCUUUUAAUGAUCAACCAAUUUAUUUUAAAUUCUAAGUGUACUUUCUUUUUGGUUUGAGGUUUAAACUAAAAAAAUAAAAACUUUGAAAUGUACUGAUGAAAAAUGCCACAAUAUUUACAAUACAAUAAUAUGAAACUAAUCUAAUCAUUUUAAUAUUAUCACUAAUUUAUAAAAGUAAAAAUUUAUGUUGGACUCCCACAACUUUUGUAACAUGGAUCAAGCAUCAUGAACCAGGUGCACACGAAAUAACUCAGUUCUAGAAGGAUUAUAAAGCCCUUAACCAAGAGAGGCUAGAAAGAUUAAAAAGAUACACCUCAUUGAGGAAAGAAGUGUUCACAACAAAGAGGAAAAAAAAGCAAUUUGUCAAAUACUUUAACAACCCAAGAUUAAUUUUCAGAGUAAACAAAAUUUUGGUUUAACUACAAUAUUAGUGUCAUUAACAAAGUGCACAAGAAAUUACAUACCUCACUGAGUACUAACACUACAAAGAGAAGAAAGCACAGUAAAUAAAAUUAUAAAGUUAGCCCUUCCACUCUACAGGUUCCAUGCAUUUGGUUUUGCAGAGGCAAGCAGAGGUAUUGAUCCCAAUCCCACAUAUUUGGAUUCUAGUUUCUACUAAUUAAAGCAUGCCUUGUCUGACAAAAAGUCUUUCCAAAGUUCCAAAAGCAUUUGUCUCAAUAAAGGGAAAACAACUAAACUAGUUGUAGGUGCGUACUAAACCUUUUGAUGCUCCAAAUACCAUUAUAUUAUACUACACAAAUCACAAUAUCUCCAAGUUCUAAAUAAAUAAAUAAAAACCACAUUAACAAUACCAUUGAAAUGUAAUCAGAUACACAAAAAUCUACACAAUUAGGUAGUUAGCACGAUGUCAAAGUUUCAAUAAACUUUGAAUUUUUGUUUGAGCUUGCAAGCCUAAGGCCUAACUAAACCAACAACACUGACCAUAUACCGUGCAUAAAGAUAUUCACAAGUUAAUGAAACUUGAUCAAACUAGACAAAUAAAACGAAGACCUCAAAUUAAUAUCCCCAUAUUAAUUAUGCAGUUGCUUAUUAUUUUACUAGAAUUACCUUCAAAACUAACAGCCACACAACUUACAACAGAGUACCUUUUAUGUGUAAUAAUCUAGGAUUUUAAGAUGGGAAGAUACAUUGAGUAAAGUUGUGAAGUUUCGAUGAGCAAACACAAAAAUAAAAGACAAAGAGCGAGAAUGAAACACGAAUUGAAACUUACUAUGAUAAGCUUAAAGAGGUUAGUCUCAUUCGAAACAGAGAAACGUCAUUGUUGCGGGUGCGUUACCGUCUCAAGGUGCGUUGUCGUUGUAGGGUGUGGUUUCCGGUUGUUGAGUGCUAAGAGUGAGAGAUGAGAAAAAAAGUUAAAGAAAACAGAUAAACUUUGAAAUUCAAAACCUUACAUACCAAUUGGUUAAAUUUAAAAAAAUUAAAUAAUUUUUUGAAAAAUAUGCAUCUUUAUUUAAAUUUAUUUAUUAAAAUUUUAAUUUAAAUAAUAUUUUGAAUUAAUCAUUAAUUUAAUUUUAUAUUUAAAUAAAAUUAAAAGAUUAAAAUACUAUUUUAAAUGUAAUUUUUAAAUUUAUAUUAAUUAUUUUAAUAUUAUACUAAAAUUAUUAAAUUAUUAAAUUUAUUCAUAUCAAUUUAAAAUAUUUUAUAAAUUAAUAAUUAAUUUUAUAAAAUUUAAUUACUUCAAAAUUAAUAUUUAAAUUCAAAUAAUAGUGACUAGAAAUUUAAGUAUCUCAUUAUAAUUAUAUAAUGAUUAGAAACUACAAAAUUAGUUUUAAAUUUUAUUAUUUUUAGUGACUAAAAUUAGUUUUUAAAAUAGAUUAAAAUUAAUUAAAAUAGUUUCCAAUUAUAUCUUAACAAGAUUCUCUCUCUCUCUAUCUCUCUAUCUCUAUCUCUCUCUCUCUAAUAAAUUGAAACAUAGAUGAAUAGAAUCUUACACGGACUACUUCUUAUGCGGGACAGGAUGGUCAAAUGAACUUGCAUUUCUUAUAUAGGUUGGACCAACCUGACCUGCGUUUUGCGAGUCAAACAUGGGAGGGACCAACCGACAUUGCCACCUAAUUUGACAUGAAAUAUUUGUUUUGCCCUUAAUGAUUUAAAAGACUUUGUCUUCUGGAUUUUCAUAUACGUAAGUUAAAUUACAAAGUUCUGGAUAUGCAAGUUCGAAACUAAUAUGUCACUUUCGGAUUUAGUCAUCCAGAAGCUUACCUGACCAACAUAAAUGACCUUCUGGAUGCCAUGAUCCAUAAGCAAACAUAAAUGAACUCGAGAUUCUAAUAUUUAACAUCAUUUAUAGCACACCAUUUCGAACAUAAAAAUCUGAAACUCAUAACUCACUUCCGGAUAUGAUCAUCCAAAAACUUAAAUGAAAUAUAAAAAUGAUCUUCUGAAUAUCGAAGUCCGGAGUAUAUAACAACCACAUUCAAAUUUUUGCAUCUAUAACUAAAUAUGAAGCCUUCCGAAUAUCACGAUUCGGUAACAACUUAACCCCAUUAUCAACUAAAACACAAAACGUAAAUAAUUUUCCUUACCUCAUAAAAGAUUUACACCACACCACGCUUAAAAGUAAUGACUUCAUUCCACCACCACACCAACCCAAUUCACCACCACUCAAAACGGUUCAGCAUUUAAAUCACAAAGCUUCACUUUUUUCUGUGAUGAACUAUGAUGGGAGCAACAGCAUUAAAACUGCAGAAGCAAUGCAUAGCUAUUUAAAGUCUGAAACCCCUACUUUCCAAUUUAUUUCAGUUCUUACUCUUUUAAAAUUUCUCUAAUCAAAUUUCAAAUAGUGCUUUUACCAUGCUCUUUGAAAUAUACAAAUAGUUUAUACAAUUAUACUAUUCAUUCCACUGGCUGCCUCAGAAAAGAAAUUGCACUGCUACAUAAAUAAUUACUUUAUGCCACUCAUUCCUAAAGCUAACUAUGACAGACAAAAUAUGCAAAAAGGAGUUACUUUCAUCUAUCAAAGUUGUGUGCUAUUAUUUUAUUUGACUAUUGAAAAUCUCACCUGUGAUGGUCUCUUUCUCACCCUCUAAUCUAUCAAAAAUCCAUUUAAUGGAGCCUAAUUUAGAAGAUUAAGUGCUUAUGUAGCCUAUUAAAUGCCUCUUAAGCAUCCACACGGCAAAGCUACCUAAGCAGUAAAGCACAUUAGCAGAAAGGCUACUUUAGUGACGUACAGAUUUUUGAAGGACUUGGGUAAUGAUAGUAAGUAUUUUUAGGAUUGAAGCAAAGUCAAAUUAAUAUUUUUUAGGUACCAAAGUGAUAACAUGUGGGUUUUGGCUUGAAUGUUUAUGGGCAAAAGUGAUUCAUUGUGGUACAUGGUGAUGAAAGUGAUGGCUAUGGCUUGGACCCGACCCGCUCUAGUCAAGUUCCAUUUUUUUUCAGUCAAGUCCGUUAGUAGAACCAGUGUAAAGCACUAUGUUCAAUUUAUUGGAACCCAUCAAAUAUAAAUUCUUGUGUGAUUGCCAUGCUCAGAGACCUUCAAACAACAUUACAGAAGAAACAAGAAAAACUAGCAAGCCUAGACAAAAGGAUUGAGGUUAAAAUUAAUGCAAGCAAUCAAAUACCUUCGUUCACAUCUCCGUUCGCCUUUGCUCGCACCUUCGUUCUCCUUCGCUCGCACCUCCGUUCGCCUCCGCUCACACCUCUGUUCGCCUUUGUUCGUACUUCCGUUCGCACCACGACCACCACCCACAACUUCCUCCUCCUCCUCCGACCACCGCCUGCAGCUUCCUCUGCACCUUUGUUCACACCACGUCCAUUUUUGGGUAUUUGGUGUCCUAAAAGCACCUACAACUUCCAAAUAACUCUGAAGCUUACAAAAAAUCAAAUUCCAAGUUUUAUCUAAUUGUCACAUUCUUUUUUUACUGAAGUCACCUCUUUAUAAAUAAUAUUAAAAAAUAUAGUAUUUAUGUAAAAUUAAGAAAUAAAUAUUAAAGGAGUAUUUAAAUAUCAAUGAUAAUAAAUAUAAAUAUUUUAAUUAAUUAAUAAUUUUCAUACUAAUACAUUUUAUAAUUUCUAACUAGCAGAUACUUACCUCUAUUAAUAAUUUUUAAUUGAAAAAAAUAGAAACAAGUAAUAAAACUGUUAUAAUAAAAAAAUUAAUAAUUAAAAAAUUAUUUACAAUUUAAUUCUGAAAAUUUAUUUAUUUUUAUAAAAUUAAAGUUGUUUUAAAAAGAUCAUUUUAUUUAAAUUUAAUUAUUUAGCAUAAUUUAUUUUUUUUAAAGGAUUAAUUUUAUUAACAAUAAUUAUUUUUUUUAUGUAAUUUUAUUUAAAAAAAUUAUUUGAGGUGAUAUUUUAAAAAAAUAUUUAAUAAAUUUUAUCUAAAUUUAAUAAAUUACAAAUAUAUUUGACACAUAUUUUUUAAAUAAAAAAAAUCAGUAAUACAAUUAAUUAUUUUUUAAAUGGAUGAGUACUCAUUAAUAUUCAAAGUGCUUGUAUAGUUUUUUAAAAUAAAAAUAAAUUAUUAUUAUCAUUAAUAGUAGUUGUAAAAUAAACAAGAUUUAGCGACUAAAAAAUUUCGAUGGCUAAAAAAUAAACGUGUUUAGUGGCUGAUUCAGUGAUAAAAAUAAAUAAUUAUAUCUAGUGACCGAAACAAAAUCGGUAGCUAAAACAUAAACAAAUUUGAUGGCUGGUUCGGUAGUAAAAAUAAACAUUUAUAUUCAGCGACCAAAAGAAAAUCGGUAGCUAAAAAGUAAAUAUAUUCAGUGCCUAAUUUGGUGGCAGAAAAAAAAUAAUAAAAUUUAGUGACCAAAAUAAAAUUGGUGGCUAAAAAAUAAACAUAUUCGGUCGCUAAUUCGGUUGCAAAUAUAUUUUUUCCAAUUUAUUCGAAACAAUCACCACUUUAACGACCAACGGUUUUGUCACUUUCAUGUUCGGUCACGGAUUCAUUCGCAAAACUAACUAACAUGAUUUUUCAUGUUCGGUCGCGAAUUCAUUCGCAAAACUAACUAACAUUAUUUUUUAUGUUCGGUCGCGAAUUCAUUCGCAAAACUAAACUAACUAGCAUGAUUAAUAAUUCAGUUAGUCGCCAUUUCGAAUUCGUUCGCAAAACUAACUAACAUGAUUAAUCAGUCGCUAUUUCGAUCACAAAUUUGUAAGUUAUUUCGAUCGCAAAUUCGACACUAUAUUGUUCGCUAAAUUCAGUAACUACAGUAUAAAAAAAACACUCUUCUCCAAAAAAUAAUUCAAAACAAAGAAGAUAGGACAAUGUCAAGAAUUCUCCAAAAAAUAAUUCAACACAAAGAAGAUAGGACAAUGUCAAGAAGAUAGGACAAUGUUGGACAAUAUCUUAAAUGAUAUGAUGAAGGGAGAAACACCCCUAAUUUUUUAGUAUCAGAUUUAGCGUUUUACUAUUGUUAUUAAGUUUUAUGCAAAAAAAAAUUUAAUCAAAAUAACAUAACUAAAUCUUUCAUAAAUAUUUUACCAUUUAAAAAAAAAAACAAUUUUUUGAAACUGAUGAAGUCAUACAUACUAAAUACAAUUUUAAUACAAUCUGAUAGUACAAAUAUAAUUCUGAAGUUGUAAUGAUUUCAAUACGAUAUAAUAUCACUAUCACUGAAGUUAUAAUGUCAAAAUACAAAUUCAAUUAUAGAAAUCUUUUUAAAAAAAUUGUUUUUAUAUUAUACGAAUUUAAUUAUUUCCUAAUUAAAAUCACAUUUUACAACUAUAAUUUCUUUAGAAAUUAUUAUCUACAUAAAACUCGUAUUUGACACAUACGAGGAUUUAUCCAAUUUUAAAACAAGAAACUAAUCUGUCCAUUUAGAAAAAUUUGGACUAAAAUUACACUAAUUUUUGGAGAAAGAAACCGACUAAGUAUUAUAAAUAAAACUGCCACAUAAAAACAUGACUUAUAGCAUUUUAGGACACCAAUUUAAAGUCUCCAACUGAACAUUAAGUUUCAAACUAUUACACUUUUAUUUAAGUUUAGAAAACAUUUGUUGUCUAAAGACUUUUGGGUUUAUAUUGCAACAUCACUCAUAAUUGGAUAAAAGUACAUUUAUUCUUGAGAAGCAGAAGCAGGUGCAGUGCAGAGAUGGAUGAUACUAAAUGCAUCAUCCAUGAACUUCAUUCUGGAACUAAACUGGAGGUGGGUAGAGUUCAAUAACCUUCUUCCAUGAUGGUCUACUGCUUAUGUCAUCCCACCAACCACUCACAUGCUUCCUCUCUUUUAUCAGAUACCCUUUAUUCAUUUGGUUCACUAUAAAAUAUGUAAAUGGAAGAUGACUUAUAUCAGCAAGACUGAAGAAAUCCCCACCCAAAUACUUGCUCUUUGACAGCCUCUCCUCAUAAACAUCCAACACCUUCAACAGCUUUGCUUCACUCUCCUCAAUCACCUUUGGAUCUGGAGUCAUGCCAAAUAUUGGAGCAAACAACAGAUGCACAGCCAAGUCAUAGGCUGGUGGGUGAAAGUUAUGUGCUUCAACUUCUAGCCAUUGUUCCACAACACCCCUCUCUUCUGCUGUCCUCCCCACCAGCUCAACCCCCUGAGAUCUGUAUUUGUCUGCAUAAAACCUCAUUAUAGCACGAGAUUCUGCAGAAACAGAUCAAACACAGACAACUUAAAAGGUGGUAGCAGUAAGAUAAGAAAAAAUAACUGAAGAAACAAAAUAUGAACAAAAAGGCAAAAGUAUAUAGAAGUUGAAAGUGUAACCAUAUAAGGUGUAGUCUCCAUCUUGGAUGACAGGAACAACUCCAAAGGGCUGCAGAUAUGAUAAAUAAAGAAGAUGAAUGAGAAGAUAAAGAAAGACGUAAUCUUGAAGAGUGAUGAGUCUGAGGAAAAAAAGAAAAUUGAACCUGUAACUUGAGAAACUCGGGAGCCUUGUGCUCUCCCUUAGUGAGAUCAACUGGGACAACCUCAAAUUCGACCUCCUUCUCAAGGAGACAUACCAGCACCCUUUUAGUGGAAGCACAGUGAGGACCGUACACCUUCACUACCAUGUUUUGAUUCUCUUCAGAAACCCUUCAACAAGAGUGAAGUGAAAGAGCCAAACACAAUUUCUACUUCCUAGCAACACUUCUUAUAGUUGUAAAUGGAUUUGGAAUGGAUAGGAUAGAAUCAAACUCUUUACUUACUAAUAGAAGAUUUGGGGUUGCUAGAGUUUGUUUUUUCUAAAUAUACUUUGACAAGUGUAAAAAUUGCUUUAUUUGUGGGUUCAGAUUUCAGAAAAAAAAAAUUUCUUUUCUCAAUUGUAACUUGGUGUAGGACUUUCAAUAUAUCAUCACUUAGUUGAGCAGUGAUAUGUUCACACUUUCUACUGACACACUCUCAUUUAACACUUAAUAAUUUUUCAAAAGUUUACAUUAUAUUUACCAAAACUUAUUGGAUACUCACUUUUAAAAACUCUCAAUCAACACUGCUCUUUUAACAAAUAUAUGAUAAAUGAGUUUGAUGUGGUAAAUGGUACUUUGAUAAACAUGAUGUAAACUUUGAAAAAUUACUUAUUAAUAGCAAAUUGUUUCGUAUAAGAAAAUAUAAUCUUUUAAUAAAAUAAAAUGUGAGUCUAUUUGAAAAGAUAAAGAAAUGUUUAAAUGAUUACAAACAGAUGCAUUUAAUGAUGUGGGCAUCCAAAGUAACAUUUUUUUAUUUUUUAUUAAAUUCAUUUUAACUCUUCCCAGGUCAUGUUAGGUUGAAUCUGUAUUGAUUGGGGUACAGCUGGUUUAAAAAAAAAUAUAGGUGUUGAUGGGGGGAUCUGUUGUGCCGUGUUUGGAGAAACAGGAGAUAAUUUAUUAUAUUUAUUUAUGUAAUUUAAAUGAAAGCAUGUUGUGCAGGGUCAAAAGUUGGCAAUAGAAUAAUAAAGUGAUUCCAGAAAUGGAGGGUGGUGGAAGAAUCACUUCUUAAUUUUUAAUUGAUUCAAGAUCUUCAAUCUCACUGGGGUAAAUCCUUAAUAUAUUUUGCUAUUUUAUUAGAAAAUAAUAUUUAAACUUAAUAAAAUGAAAUUUACAUUUAUUGGGUUGAUAAAGAUUAUGAUGUCCUUUUCCAUUUAGAAGUUCUCUUCCGUCUUGGUUUUGGGAAAAUCACUUACUUGCCGUCUUCAAUAACAAUGGCAGUUUAGCAAUCCAUGAUUACCACUCUUGCUUCCUCUAUUUCAAGAUUUUCCCAUUAUAAUGUUAUUUCAAGAUUUUGUUUCUUAUAUAAAUUAUGGAAAAAAAAAAUAACUAAGCUAUCUCAUUUAAAAAUGAAAUUAUAUUUUUCAUUGGGAAGUUUACUCACAUGUGAAAUAAAUAAAGUUACACUUUUUAAGGAUGGAUAUUCAAAAUAUUUUUUAUUUUAUUUCAUUAAAUUUUUUGAAAAACCAAGAUGUAUUUAUUAUAGGUUAGAAAUGAAAAAAAAUUAUAAGUACAUUGACACUUCUGAUCUGUUAACUUGGAAGAAAUAGAAAUGUAUAGAAUUUUUCAAAGAUUGGAUCAAAGUCCAAAGACUUUUAUUAUUUCUCAAUCACAUCAGCAAACAUCAGAAGAGGUCACCUUACUCACGCACCUGUCACUCUCAAUAGAAACUGACGAAAAGGUACAACCAAAUGUACCCAGACAAGAUCAAAUUCUUCCACCUUCCACCACCUCCAUUCCUUCCGUAUACUGAAAUUAUAACUUCAUCAUUUUUAUUUACACUCCUAUUUCUUGAAUCUGAAAUAUAUAAUACAAUUUUAUAUUCUAAAUUUUAAAAUUUAGAAGAUAUCUUUUGAAUUUGAAAAUAUAUUUUAAACUUUAAAAUUUGAACUUGGAAUAUAAAAUUGUAUUUUGAAUUUUACAAGGUCUAUAUUAUACAAUUUAAAAAUCAAUAAAAAAACAAAACAUAUACCUUUUGUCAAAGCAUAAUUUUGGAAUUAAAAUAUUUAUGAAUAAUUUUGAAAUUAAAAUAUUUAUGGAGGUGUAAGAAGAAACGGAGUGAAAGAAGAAAUUGUCAUUAAAGGGUAGGCAAUUGCUUCCUGCACCCAAUCAAUUUUGACUCGCAUCCAACGAAAAUUUUAAAACUCCAAUCUGUCCUUUUCACACAUUUGUUUACAAAUUUUAAUUUUUGGAAGACAUUUUUAUACAUUCUAGAUUUCGAAAUCCGAAAGGUUAUUUUCAUAUUUCAUUUAAGCUUCUAGAUGAUCAUAUCCAAAAGUGAGUUAUGAGUUCCAAAUUUUCAUAUCUAAAAUGGUAUGCUAUAAAUGGUGUUGAGAACUGAAAUUCGAAACUCAUUUAUGUUUGCUUACAGAUCUUGAGAUCCAGAUCAUUUAUAUUGUUCAAAUAAGUUUUCGGAUGGUGAAAUCCGGAAGUAACAUUAGUUCUACAUUUGUAGAUCCAGAACUUUGUAAUUUAACUUGUGGAUAUAAAUAUUCAGACAAAAAUUUAAAAUCAUUAAAGAUAAAAUGAACAUUUCACGUGAGUCUGAAUUGAUAUGAUACAGGAAGAAUCAGCCUAGAGGGUAUGUGCAGUAAUUGGCCCAACCCAGAAUGGCCUAAAGAAAAACACAAAACGCAACCGGAAGGAAAGAAAACACAACCUGAGAUACGAAUGUACUUCAUUAAAAGCUAAAAAUGUGAAGUAAUAUAAAAAAAAAUGAACAUUGCAAUAAAAUAACUUAUUCAGUCAAUAAAUCUGUGACUUUUUUAAAAAUAUACAGACACCUUAUCGCCAAAAAUCAACGGCAGCAUUUCUAAUCUACAACUAACAAGUAUCAUAAGAAAUCCUGAAAAUGUUAUUAAAAGAAGCCUCCUACCGUUCUCAUUCAAACAUUUCAGUAGUUUUCUCACCUUCCUCCUGAGAAUGAAGUAUUUGUUAGUGCUUACGCAGGCAUGAGAUGAGACUAUUGUCACAGACAGAUAGAUACUUCUACGCUACUGCAAAUUUGUAUAAUAAACAGCGUAUACAAACCAAUUAGCAUACUAAAUGGUGUUUAUUAUUAGUAAUUGGUUUCCAGAAUAUUGAAUUAAUUCCCUAUGAAGAGAUUACGAUGGGAUGAGACGGACAUAUACAGAUACCAAAAUGACACCACAUAAAACAUGAGUUUUGACUAUAGCUGCUGUGAUGAUGCAGUAUCAUUUUCUUCAAUGUCAUCAAAUUCCACCGGUUUCCCACGAACAAGCUUCCUGUAAAUCAAAUAAAAAAUUAGGACAUUUACACAUACAUAUUUUAAGAAUUAACGAGUUAAAAAUAUAAACAGAAUACUGCUAUUUCAAAAUAAAAACAACAAAUUCCUAAUCAGAAUGAAACAACUAAUUGAUUAAAACACAGUGAAGUAGUGGCAACAAAGACAUGCCAAACAAAUGGCUAUUCUAAUUCAAUCAUUAGGAAUGAAUUUUUAUCCUUCAACUCGAGUGAAAUUUCUAUGGUCAACAAAAAUGAACCAUUACUAAGGAAUGCAUCUAGCAUGCCCUUGAUGAAAUUGUCACUCUUCUUGUCAUGUGGUUCACAAAAAUUUUACAAGUUUAAAGAUUCUCCCUUCUUUUGGUCCUUUAACCUUUUUAACUGGUAAGCAGAUUACAAUCAAUUGUUAAGUAGAGAAACCUUUUUGAUAUAAAAUUCUCAGACAGUGCCUUAUCCAGCCUCUCUUCAAACGGGGUUGCGUGCCAUUUUACUUUCUGGUCCUGUGGACAAUUAGAUAAAGUGCAGUGAUCAGAUGGAGUAUACAGAUUUAAAAACCAUAUAACACCAAAUAAUGACUGCAAGACAUACCUCCUUGUACUUAGUUGUUGAAUUCGGGAUGCCAUUGCCAUACCACCACUUAAGAGAAAUGGGGGAAUUCUCCUCAAUGACUGAUAGAGGAGUUAAUCUAGAAGACAAAAUUGAUUUCUCCUCAUUUUCAUAUCCAUUUGAAAUUUUCUUCAACCCUUCUUCUGGGGUAGGAGUUCCAUUUUGAGAUUGGUCAACCAAAUCACUCAGCUCACUUGAAUCUUCUUCAGGGUUAGAAUCUCCGUCCUCUAGUAUUUUGCACCGGAAGAUAUUAUCACUUGGGUUGUUUGUUGGAUAGACAAACUGGCAACGAACCUGAGCCUUACCACUCUGUAACUGUUCUAAUGAUGCAGGAUACACAGUUCCUGGUGUUUGCAUCUCAUCAAAUAACUUCAACGGGGUAGGAUAAGGAGAUUGUCUAUAUGCACUUUGGUGGUUAUUUGGUGAUUUGUUUUCCUUCGUAUGCCAAUCGUCUGAUGAGCUUCCAUAGGAUGCCAAGUCAGUUUCGUUUUCAAAACGAACAGACUUGUUCUUUCUCUGAGUAUUGGCGGGUAGCAAAGGUGAAACUAAAGCUGCAUUCCUUUCGGACCUAUCUUCCCUAUGAAGAAUCCCUGCAUAACUUUUUUCUAUGCAGUCAACAGAGUCAUCCUGAGUAUCUUGUGCUUUGGAGAUGCAACUGCAAAAGAAAUGAAAUGAAACUAACAUCUGAUCAGGUUCUAGUUCUCCCUCCCACUAUUUUACACUAUCAGUGGACAAUUCUAACUUCCAACCAAAACAUCAUUUGAAAUACAACCAUUUGAAGGACAUUUCUCUUAAAAACACAACAAAUGAUCUGAUUCUUUAUUCGAUACAGUUUCUCUACCAUGAGCUCUAACUGUUAGGAAUGUUGUAUCCACCGCUUACUAUAAUAAAAAUUAAGUAAAAAACAGAAGAUUCACCUGCCAUGCAUCAAAUAUCACUUGUUCAAUUUCAAUAUCAGCAUAAGAAAAAAAUUCAAAAUCACGAAUAACCUGCUUGGCGUGUGCUCAAAUGAAUCCAUACUAUUUCCCCACUUUUGACAAAGUUUUAUGGGAGUUGGUUGAUCAAAUGGUUGGACAUCUGGUUGCAGUUUUUCCACAGACGUGUUAGGAAACCAAGUAUGAAAUCUUGAAGGGUCAUCGGGAGAUGGUGAUGUUUUCAAUUUCUCAGAUGCUUUACAAAUUUCAAUAGGAGUUCCUGUUAAGGUCCCACAAGCUUUAAGAAACUUAGCCUGUAGUUUAAGUAAUGAGACAAUCAAAAUUCAAUUGACAAGAUCGAAUGUGAGAAGAAAAAAUAAUAAACAAAUUGUAAAAGAAACUAAGUACUAUUUAAAAUUUGAUAUAUACCAUGGUUCGCAUAUACAGUUUUAGAAAUUGAAUACAAAAAAGUUAUAACAUGAAUACGCUGUAGAUGAUACAGAGAGCAAUGGAUAUGACUGACUUUUAACAAGCCAGAUUGAAAAAAUACUAAUGGUUCUAAUUGUUUCCACCAUUCUUACACAAAGAGGUUUAUAAAAUCACCUUUUGUUCUUCACAUUUUGCUUGUAUACUACAUUCAAGAAGCUUCUUAUGUCAGUUUGCAGAUUCAUUUUAUCCAGCUUGACGCGAACUCAAAAGAUAAACUAUUAAUCUUAUUUUACUCAAUGCCCUAACUUGCUCAAACAAAAAAUUAUAACAACCAAAAACAACCAGAUAAAAAAUCAUUUCAGACCAAUAUUAAUAGCACAAUAAAAAUACCUCGUCCUUAAGGUCCUGGAAAUCUCCCUGAAACCCCACCCCAUCAAUCCGUGCAGAAUCAUCUCUCUCUGCUAAAAAAUGUUAGAAGACGGAAUUAGUGAAACUACUAAAAAGAGAACAGAAAACAUAAAAGUAGAAAGAAAGAAAGAAAACGAAAAGCACCUUCAAAUAACAAAGAAGACGAACUAUUCCGAGAUAUCACAACUCCCUGAUUUAAACACAGAAAAAAUCCUAAUUAUUACAAACAAACAAAAAGUAAUUAAAAGAGAGAGAGAUGCGAAAUGUGAAAUUUUACGUUGGAACGAUUGGAUGUGGGAAUCAGUUGCGGUGUGGGCGUAGGGCGAGCGUCUCUGAUCCGGAAGCAGGCGAAGAAACAGCCCAUUACUUUGUUGAAGGAUCGGAAGAAGAAACGGAUAAUGAAGCAGAACACUCUCCUCAGCAUGUCAUGCAAAUUCUGACACCCUAAUUUCGAAUUCAGUUCAAAAUCGAAAGGGCGUGAACGGUGCGUGUUGCGCAGAGACUGCAAUUUGAAUUUUGAAGUGGCUCAAAAGCGAGGGAAAUUAAAUUAGUUAAUUAUUUAAUUAUUAGGAUAAAAAUUGUUAACUCAAUAAUCAUUUAUGAGAAUAAAUUUUUUUAUAACUGUUCUCUUAUUCUACUCUUACAUUAGACCGUUUUACCAUACUUGUACCAAUAUAUAAACAAAUAAUUGUUUUUAAUUUCUACUCUUUAAUUAUAAAACGUUUUAUAUUUGACCAGUAUAAAAUAAAUAGCUUUUACAAUUUUAUUAUAGAAGUUUUGUAUUUUAAAUAGUUAAUUGAAUUUAAAAAAUAGUUACAAAAUUGAAAUGGAAAAAUAAUAAAACAAAUUAUACUGAUAAAAGUUAAAUGGGUAAGGAAUCCAAUUUUUUUAAUAUCUUUAAAAAUUUGUUGUGUUUUAUAGAUAUUACAUUAUAAAUUUAUUAUAAUUGUAAAUUUAUUGGAAUUAAUAUAUAAGAUAAAUUUAUGUUACAAUUUUUAAAACAUAUUAAUGUACAUAUAUGUUCUAAAAAAGAAAACAUUAAUUUAAAUUAUCAUUAUUUUGUAAGUGAGAGAUAAAACAAAAAAUUAGUCUUUAGGAUAACAUUGUUAAUAAAUUUAUUUAUUAAAUUAUAACAAUAAUUGAGUAUAAAACAUAAUUUAUGUUUUAGUAGCCUUCUUACUUAUUUUUAUGUCAUUCAUAAUAUUUGAAGUUUUAAAAACUUUAUAAAAACUAAUGAAAUGUAUUUAGACAUGUACUGGUAAGCUAAAACCGAGAGGUUCAGGCCGAGAACUACAUAUUGAACAACCAAGAGGUGUUAGACUAAAAUCGAGAGGUUUAGACCGAAAGCGAAAAAGACAUACAUAAAAGAAUAAAACAAAAUAUAAAUAUUAUUAUAAAAAUAAAAGUCCAAUUAAGAUAAAACUUACAUGAGGGGUGUGAAAAUAAUAAAAAGGUGUAGAAAGAAAGCCCAAAAGUAAAGGGGAAAGCCCAUUAAAGAAACCCUAUAAAUAGGAGUUCAGAGUAAGAAAAAGGUAAGAGUGAUUUUAUCUGAUGAACAUUAAACUAUUUCUGACUUUGGCAUCGGAGCGACUUGCAGGUACCCCCCUGCCGUGAGGAGAAGCCGAGAGCACUUGCUGUGAGGAGAAGCCGAGAGCCCUUGCCGUGAGGAGAAGCCGAGAGCACUUGUUGUGAGGAGAAGCCGAGAGCCCUUGCCGUAAGGAGAAGCCGAGAACAUCUGUCGUGAAGAGAAACCGAGUGUCCAGCCCAAGAUUGAAGGAUUUGCAUAAAGAAUUAAUCUUGUUAAUCCAUUUCGAGUGUUCUUGGUCCCUGUUGUAAGAACAUUUUGGCGGUCACCGUGGGGCCGAGAAGUAGUUGAAAAGGGUUAAAGACAAGAUGGACCAAAUAGAAGAACAAGGUGGAGAACAGGAAGACAAUGUUAACAUGCCAAUGGCAAUGUUGGUACAACUACAAAAAGAAUUCGAGAUGUUAAAAAAGAAUAAUGAAGAAGAACUAAGCAUGUUGAGAGCCGAAAAUGCACAUAUGAGGAGAAAACUGCAGGAAGAGACAGUUCUGAAUUCGUCCUUUGAAACUGUUCAACCUAAAGCACAAAUGAAUGAAAGACUUCAUCACAACGAAAGUUCCCAAACCAAAAGAAGAUUGCUUGAUACCUCUGGGGUUUUUUCAGGAGCAUCCUCCAUAAAGCAUCCGUUUUAUGAUGUUAUAGUUGAUACUCCAUUACCUGACAAUUGGAAAAAUUUGACAAUUGGAAAAAUUUGACAAUUGACAAAUACGAUGGAAGUACAGACCCUGAUGAACACAUUGCAAUAUAUACCACUCAGAUAAGCUUGUAUACGUGGAAUGAUGCUAUUAUGUGUAGAGUGUUCCCUACGACGCUGAAAGGAGCAGCUUUGAGUUGGUUCACGCGCCUCCCACCUUUGAGCAUUGAUUGUUUCGAUACACUGGUAGGAAAGUUCGGUGCUCAAUUUGCAACCAGUCGCCCUCAUCAUUUAACAUCAAUUGCUUUGGUGAACAUAAGACAAGAGAAAUGAGAGUCAUUAAGAAUGUUCAUGGAACGCUUUGGAAAGGUUGCCUUAGGUAUUCGAGAUCUUAGCCCAGAGGUUACCAUGCAUCAUAUGAUAAUAGCAUUGAAGCUGGGACCAUUCGCCGAUAGCCUCUGCAAAAAACCUGCAACCAAUUUGGAUGAACUAAGGCAGCGAGCCUCAAAAUUUAUGCAGAUGGAAGAACUGAGAGAGUUCCGAAACCAAGUGAGGGUUGAUGGAGGUGAGAAGAGGGUGAUGGAAAGAGAAAGCGGACCUAUGGUCAGAAGAGCCCGAGAAGAGUUCAGAAGUCGAAAAUUCCAACAAUAUACACCUUUGAAUACAAAUAGAGCAAGAAUUUUGCAAGAAGCCAUGGCAGCAGAAAUAAUACCACCACCAAGAAAAGCAAGAACACCAGAAAGGGUAGAUCAUACCAAGCGGUGUGAGUAUCAUAAAAAUCAUGGCCAUCAUACAGAAGAGUGCAUCGGGUUGAAAGAUAGAAUAGAAGAAUUGAUCCAAGCGGGACAGUUGAAACGCUUCAUUCAAGGAGGAAAUACGAAAACAAGAUUAAGUCCUGAAAAAGUGUUGAAAGGGAGAGAGGUAGGACAAAGAAGAGUGGAAGGAUUUGAAAGAAGAGAAGAUAGAAGAGUUGAAAAAAGAGAUGAUAGGAGGGAGGGAAGGCCAGAACGAAGAUGUGAUAGGUUUUAUCAAAACACCCAGUCGGUUAGGCGAAGUAGGGAACGAAGUCUGGGAAGGCCGGUCAGAGGAUUUAUAAAUACAAUUUCAGGUGGUUUCUCUGGCAAAGAAUCUUCAUCGGGAAGAAAACAACAUUGGAGAAGUAUCAGAACCAUUAAUCACAUUUUUAAAAAAAGAACUUUGCCACCGAUGCUUUUCACAGAUGAAGACUUUCAAGAAAUCGAUCCCGAUCAUGAUGAUCCUAUGGUGAUAACAGUAGAAAUAGCCGAGUAUGCUGUCAUGAAAACCUUGGUUGAUCAGGGGAGCUCAGUUGAUUUUUGUUUUGGGAUACUUUCAAAAGGUUGCACUUGAGAGAAGAAAAUAUUGUACCUUUCCGAGAACAAAUUAUUGGCUUCUCGGGUGAAAGAGUUAGCACUAAAGGAUAUGUUGAUUUAAUGACAACAUUCGGCAGAGGCAGUAAAACUAAAAAGAUCAAAAUCAGGUACUUGGUGGUGGACGCUUCCACAUCAUACAAUGUGUUGCUAGGGCGAUCUUCUUUGAAUAAGUUGGGAGCAAUAGUUUCAACACCGCAUUUAGCCAUGAAAUUCCCAACAGAGAAGGGGGAGAUAGCCACGAUAUAUGUCAAUCAAAAAGAUACUCGGGAAUGUUACGCAACAGGCUUAAAGAUGAAUUUGAAAACAAAUAGAGAUACUGAAAGAAUGGUGGCGAUGGCAGAUUUGGACCCCAGGUUAAAUGAUGAGAGGUUAGAACCAAAAGAAGAGACAACAGUUGUAGUAUUGGGACGGGACGAGAAGCAAUGCACUUACAUAAGUGGAAGUUUGCCCAAAGAAUUGUUAAACAAACUUAUCACAUUGUUACGCAACAACAAAGACUUGUUUGCUUGGAAACCAUCUUAUAUACCUGGAAUCGAUCCAGAGGUAAUUUGUCACAAAUUGUCGGUAUGUCGAGAAGCGAAACCGAUAUCUCAAAAACGAAGAAAGUUGGGUGAAGAA
rnacentral:lncRNA from 1 species